rnacentral:lncRNA from 1 species
UUGAGUUGAUAAAGUCUAUGACUAUUUCAAAUAGUUCAUUAGACCUGAAUGGAUGCAAGGGGAUGCUAUACGAUGGUUCAGCUGGCUCUUCACUGCCAAAGCCCAUGACUACUACAAAUGUUUUGGAGUUUGGAAAAUUAUUGAAGCCUGGAUUUCAGAUAUUCGAAACUUUGGUAAUUGGCAAUUCUGAACAGCUCAAGUCAUGGAGGCAGCAUGGGGAUUUUCCGAAAAAAUACAUGGUCACUGACCAUGGGUUUAAGAAACCAGUACGAGGGCUGAAUAUGCUCGCUUCCCCUGAAGAGGUAACAAUUGAAGAAAGUUGCGUACGUCUUGUUUUGUUUCCAGAGAUCAAUUUCUUUCCCAGAAAUCUGCGCUCUCUUCUAAUUGAUAACAGCACUGCUUUCAAAUCCUUACCCGAGGAAAUGAUGGAAAACAAUUCACAACUGGAAAGGUUGUAUAUCAGAGAUUGCGACUCUCUAACAUUCAUCGCAAGACGGAGGCUACCAGCAUCUCUUAAAAGGCUUGAGAUAGAAAAUUGUGAGAAAUUGCAACGUCUGUUCGAUGAUGAAGAGGAUGCUUCUUCUUCUUCUCCUGCAUCCUCGUCUUCCCCAGUGAUGCUGCAACACCUGAGAAUAGAGAACUGCCCAGAGCUCACCAGUUUAUCAUCGGGUGUCCAAUUCCUCGAGGCGCUUGAAUACCUCGAGAUACGGGAUUGUCGAAAGCUAGAGUCAAUACCGGAUGGCCUGCCCAAUCUUAACUGUUUACAGAGCAUUCAUAUAUGGAAAUGUGACAAGCUCGAAGCCCUGCCCACUGACAUGCACAAACUCAACUCUCUUCGAGAUUUAAGCAUAUUGCGGUUUCGAAAUCUUGUAUCGUUUCCAGAAGAAGGUUUUUCUACCAAUCUAACAUCACUUAUAAUUGGAUAUGUCAAAAUGUGUAAGACACUCGUCCAGUGGGGGUUGCACAGGCUUACCUCUCUUAAACGCCUCUGGAUUGUUGUACGUGAUGAUGAAGCAGAGUGUUUUCCAGACGAGGAGAUAGGAAUGACGCUGCCCACCUCUCUCACUGAUCUGGACCUUUCGGGAUUCGAAAAAUUGAUAUCUCUGUCUUCGACGGGUUUUCAGAGCCUCACCUCUCUUCAAUCUUUGUGGAUAUUGGGUUGCCCAAAUCUCACAUCAUUUCCAGAGGUGGGCCUUCCAUCCUCACUUUUGGAAUUACACAUUAGAGAUUGUCCAAAGCUUAAAAAAGCGUGCAAAAGAGAUGAAGGAAAAGAGUGGCCCAAAAUUGCUAACAUCCCUCGCGUUGAGAUAGACAGCAAAUUCAUAUACGAUCCAGAAUCAGAGGAGUAGAUUCUACUAUUAAGGUCAGUUGAUUUGUAUUAUCCGCUAUAACAAGCCCCUCCUUUUUUUUUCUUUUUUUUUUUAAAUAAUAAUUUUGCAGUCACUCACGUGAUUCCGUUUUCACAAGUCAGAUUGUAUGUUGAGGCUAUUUGCCUUCUAAUCGCAGAUUAAAUUAUAACACUUAUCUUAAAAUUUAAUACCAUAGAUAGAUAGACGAUUUUUUAAUCCAAAGCUUUUUUUAUUCACUUCAGUUAGCAUUUUUUUUUUCCCCAAAUCAUGCAAGCCGAGAGUUUCAAUCAAGAAUUGGAGGAUGUGAAUGGGAUUUUUGUGAAAGAGUAACAUAAUGGAUGACCGAACAUUUCAUAUGUGAUCUCAAAGUCAACAGAAUUUUAUUCACUCAUUGACUUUUCAACUGCUGUGGUUAUUUAUGGGUGAAAGAAAGAUAAGGGCAAUUACAAAAAAUUUGCAAAAUUUGUCAAUUUCUUAGAUGGUAGAUAUAUCUACAUUUUAGAUUUCAUAUAUUUUGAUGCUUUUUUAAAUUUUUGAUCUAGUAAAAAUACAUAGCCUUCACCGGCAGGAUUCAAGUCUUGUCUUCAAUGGGUUUUCAAAGCCUCGCCUCUCUUCGAUUUUUGUGGAUCGCUUCGAUUUUUGCACAAAUCUCACAUCAUUUCCCGAGGUCGAGGAAAAGAGCGGCCCAAACUUGCUCGCAUCCCUUGGGUUAUGAUAGAUGGAAAAUUCAUAUACGAUCCAUAGUCAGAGGUGUAGAUUCUCUUAUUAAGGUCAGCUGAUUUCUAUCAUCCACUCUGACAAUCUCCUAUUAAUGUUUUUCCAUUUUUUUUUUCAAAAUUUUGCUGUUCCGUAUAAUUGAAAAUGCCACUCACUUGUUUCCUAUUAGUAUGUUGAGGCUAUUUGCUUUCCAUCAGUGUUUGUUAAGGUAAUUAGUGCUCCCUCAUAGGUAUGACUGGAUUUUUUUCACUUCCGUAAAUAUUGCAUUUUAGACUGGCAAAUUUAGCAGUAAUUUUAAUACAAUUUUGUUGGUGCCUUUUGUUCCAGAAGCUAGAAAAAUGUGUAGUUUUCAGAUAAGGAGGCUCGUCAGUUCUUUAGUAAGAAUCCAAUAAUUUGCUUUUGCACGUCCAUCUAAUUUGUGGAUCCUUGCAUCAGAAUUUGAUCAAUCCAAAAGGAAUUGCUUUUAGACAGAAAAAGAAUAGCAGUACCUAGCCUAUGUCAUAGUGUAUGGACCCGCAAACCUGAAACUAUUAGAUUGAGGUAAAAAAAUCAUUGACCCUCACAUGUUAACUUCUUCUAGUUACUUUCGUUGGGAAAAAAACAUUUAAGGAAUUUGCAAUUUGUUGUUAGUUAUGGUAUCUGAUGUUCUUUUCUGUUUUAGCGUUUGUAGAGUCUACUGUAUUAUGUGUUGGCAGUUGCCGUAUCUGAGGUAACUUGCCUUUAUUUGCCAGAGAUUUAGAGAAGCAUCUCAAAACACAGCAAACUUGAAAAACUUCAAGAUGCACUUGCCCCCACGCCUUAUUCUCCACAACACAAAACUUGUGAGUACACCUAUGCCUGCAAUUAUUGUGAAGUGUUCGCAAUUCUGAUGCAGAGAAAUGGUUUCUUGAUGCAAAGUAUUAAACUGUUAAGAUUUAUCCUGCAGGCUUGUUUGAUGCUGUAUACUCGAAAAGCCAACAACAUCAAGAACUACAACUCCAAGACCAGCUUUGUGUUAAUUCAGUCAGCUGUAAUAAUGAUGCAAAUGACACUAUAUCAAGCUGGACUUAGAGACUAGUCAGAUCAAUCAUCCAUUUCAUGAACGGUUAAUGUCAUGAUGGUGGCUAUCAGAGGAAACAAAAGAUGUGUCGGAAUCUAUACGAACAUUGAGAAGCGUGAGAGGAGCUUUGAUUUUGAGUAGGGUCAAUGAACUCAUGUUGGUAAGUGGUAAUUAAAGAAAUUUGUAAGCUUAAUAGAGUUUCAGUAUUUUCUGUUUGGAGUAUAGUUGAUAAGUUGACUCUGUUUAAGAAGCCCUAUUAUAGUAGUUGACUGUAUUAUCCUUUUUUUUUUGGUCUGCUGUUGUUUUUGGUUUCGAUUAUUUUUUCAACAUUGGGUUGAUCUGUUGAAGAACAAGCUUGGGUUUGAUUAUGCUUUAACUACAAGGAAGAGCCAGACUUGGAUGCAGGCGUUAAGCUUUUAAUGGGUAAGAACAAAUGAAUGCUUUAACCAUGUUUCUCACUUAUUAAAAUGCACGGAUUGAAGGCAUCUAGGUUGAUCCUGACAAUGUGAUGGAAAUACUUCUCUGUUUUCAUAUAAUAGGACAAAUAGAGAUCUCUGAUCAUGCCUGAAUUUUUGUUGCAUUGAAAUUUCUACCAUUACCAAACAUAGAAUGAAUUCAUUAGCUUAAGCCUCAAUUUUGAGAAGGAAGUUUGUACUUGCAGCCUAUAAAAUCAUGUCCGUGUCGUACGUUUCUUUGGGAAAUGAAAGAUUCUGUGUUCUUUUAUUUCAAGUUCACUGAAAUCACAUUUGUUUCCUCAGAUGCUUUCCAGAAGGUAACAACAUCAAUUUCAAAAAUGCUGGGGCAAGAUGCAUCAUGCAGUGCGACUCAACUUGAGAAUUCCUGGCCACAUUACCCGUAUGUCGAAUGAUCGCACAGUACAACCUUUAGAAGCUUGUAAUGAGUACACAACUGGGUGCAAGUAGUUUCGAAAUGAAUUUGCCUCAAAUGAUUUCUUGCUCACAUCCCUUGGGUUAUGAUAGAUGGAAAAUUCAUAUACGAUCCAGAGUCAGAGGUGUUGAUUCUCUUAUUAAGGUCAGCUGAUUUCUAUUAUCCACUCUGACAAUCUCCUAUUAGUGUUUUUUUUUUAAUUUUGCACUUCUGUAUAAUUGAAAUGCCACUCACUUGUUUCCUUCUUCACAGGUCAGAUAGUAUGUUGAGGCUAUUUGCUUUUUAUCGGUGUUUGUCAAGGUAAUUAGUACUGCCUCAUAGGGUUGAUUGCUCACAGAUGAAAUUAUAACUUUUAUCUUAAAAUUUAAUAGCAUACACAGAUAGACGAUUUUUAGUCUAAAGUUUUUUUAUUCACUUCAGUCAAAAUUUUAGAUUGCAGAUUAUUGUCAAGUAUUUCAUUACAAUUUUUUCAUUUUUUAUUUUAAACCAGAAUAUGAGUAUAACAUUUUGGAGCGUGCAUACUCUGAUGCAUGCAAUUAACUGUUUUUAAUCAUUGGAUUUUGUAAUUAAUGAUGGUAAGAUGUGUACUUAUUCUGUCUUCCAACAACCUUGCCCUCUUUCUUCGGUCGCAUAUCUAAUGAAUAUUUCUCUGUUUAGUUAAGGAUGAAUGCUUGGAGUGGGGUACUUGGUAACAUUUCUGCCUCAGAUGAAUCCCUGAAGAAAUGCCUACGGUUCCUGAGACCAAAUACAGGUCUGAUUCAAACAGCACCUUUCCCAGAAAAUAUGAUCCAAGGCAAAGUCAUGUUCUGAUAAUGUUUCCUUAAGUACAAAGUUGCAAGGAAACUUGAUUCAUUAACUACAGUUUUUUAUUUUUAGGACCUUGUAUCUGAAAGGUUCAGUGUAUUUUUUUUUUUUCAAAUUAUUUGUUCAGAUCUCAGAGGAGUAUAUGGUUUAGAUUACAAAACACUUAUGAUCAAUUUCAUUUUUUUUUUUUUAAUCUCAGGGAGAAGAAGUGGUCAGUUUCAAUCCGGAAUUGGAAUAUGGCAAUUUGGUUCAAGCACACACACCCGGUCACUUGGUCAGUGAACCUGAGCUUUAUGCAGUUUUUUCAACUUAGUGAUUUUUGGAACACAUAUUGGUGUAAGGAAAUCAAAAGAAAUUUAUGCAUAGUCAAAUUCUGAUAUUUGCUAUAUAUUAUACAUUCUAAAGUUUCUCCAGUUUGUUCUCAGAUUACCAUCAUUUUUUUGCCUUCACCCAAAAAAAAAAAAAAAAUCGAGUGGCUUUCCGGUGGAUAUUUAAUCGGAGGUAUGACUGGAUUUUUUUCACUUCUGUAAAUCUUGCAUUUUAAACUGGCAAAUUUAACUUUAAUUUUAAUACGACUUUGUUGGUGCCUUGUGCUCCAGAAACUAGAAAGAUGUGUAGUUUUCAGAUAAAGGGGCUUGUAAAUUCUCUAGUAAGAAUCCAAUAAUUUGCUUUUGCACGUUCAUUUUAUUUGUGGAUCCUUGCAUCUGAAUUUGAUCAAUCCAAAAGGAAUUGCUUUUAGACAGAAGAAGAAUUGCAGUACCUAGCCUAUGACAUAGUAUAUGGACCUGCAAACCUGUAACUAUUAGUUUGAGGUAAAAAAUUCAUGACCCUCACAUGUUAACUUCUUCUAGUUACUUUCAUGAAAAACACAUUUAAGAAAUUUGCAAUUUUUUGUUAGUUUCGUAUCCGAUGUUGUUUUCUGUUUUAGCAUUUGUAGAAUCUACUGUAUUAUAUUUUGGCAGUUGCAGUAUCUGAGGUAUGUUUUGCAUUUAACUUGCUUUAUUUGUUUUGCUUGUGACUUAAGAACACCAAUAUUUGCCAGAGAUUUAGAGAAGCAUAUCAAGCUGCUUGGCAAACUUGACAAACUUCAAGAUCCUCCAUUCUUCACAACGCAAAACUUGUGAGUACACCUAUGCCCGCAAUUAUUGUGAAAUGCUUGCAAUUUUGAUGCGCUGAAAUGGUUUGUUGAUGCAAAGGUUUAAACUUUUAAGAUUUACCCUGCAGGGUAGUUGGAUGCUGUAUACUCGAAAAGCGACCAACAUCAAGAACUAUGACUCCAAGACCGGGUUUGCAUUAAUUCAAUCAGCUGAAAUCAUGAUGCAAAUGACACUAUCAGCUGGACUUAGAGACCGGUCAGAUCAAUCAUCCAUUUUAUCAACAGUUAAUGUCAUGAUGGUGGCUAUUAGAGGAAACAAAGGAUGUGUUGGAAUCAAUGUGAACAAUGAGAAGAAUGAGAGGAGCUUUGAUUAUACGUAGGUUCAAUGAACUCAUGCUGGUAAGUGGUAAUUAAAGAAAUUUGUGCGCUUAGUAGCAUUUCAAUAUUUUCUGUUUGGGAUAUAGUUGAUGAGUUGAUACUCUGAUUAAGAAGCCUGAUUAUAGUAGCUGACUUUUUUUUUGUGGUUUGCUGUUGAUUUUUCUUUUGAUUAUUUUUUCAACAUUAGGUUGAUCUGUUGAAGAACAAGCUUGGGUUGAUUAUGCUUUAACUACAAGGAAGUGCCAGACUUGGAUGCAGGCGUUCAGCUUUUAAUGGGUAAGAACAAAUGUAUGCUUUAACCAUGUUUCUCACUUAUUACAAUGCACGCAUUGAAGGCAUCUGAGCUGAUCCUGAAAAAGUGAUGGAAAUACUUCUCUGUUUACAUAAAACAGGACAAGAGAUCUCUGAUCAUGCCUGAGAAUUAGUUGCAUUGAAAUUUCUACCAUUGCCAAAAAUGGAAUAAACUAGGAAUACAUUAGCUUAAGACUCAAUUUUGAGAAGGCAGUUUGUACAUGCAGCCUAAAAAAUCAUGUCCGUGUUGUAUACUUGUACGUUUCUUUGGGAAAUGAAAGAUUCUGUGUGUUCUAUUAUUUCAAGUUUGCUGAAAUCACAUUUGUUUUCUUAGAUGCUUUUGAGAAGGUAACAACAGCAAUUUCAAAAAUGCUGGGGUAAGAUGCAUCACGCAGUGCUACUCAACAUGAGAAUUCCGGCCGCAUUACCUGUAUGUUGAGUGAUCGCACAGUACAACCUUUAGAAGCUUGUAAGGAGUAGACAACUAGAUGCGAGUAGUUUCAAUAUGGAUUCGCAUCAAAUGAUCUCUUGCAAGUGAUUACUAUAACCUCUAUCCCAAAAUUCUUGGAACUGGUCAUACCAAUAAUGAAGUAUUGUGUAUGUUGAAGACAUAGCUCAAGGCCUUGCGAAAGCUUCGUCAGCCUUUGUAUUGGAAAACAGUUGGUUGUAGUUGCUUCUGAAUGAUAUUGUUAAUAGAUACUGUAAAAAUGAACUGUGCCACUCAUUUUCAGAGCCCUGUUAAGAUGUGUUGGUAAUGUGUUUGAAGGUUGUUUGAUUUAUGUUGUAUUCAGCUAUAAAUCAAAGAUUCAGAACAUGGUUAUGUUACUGGUUUCCAAAUCAAAAAAUUGCCUUGUGAUGUUAGUGUUCAUUGUUUUCACAGGAGAUCAGGUUCCCUGUUGAUGAAUCAAGAAGGCAAACGCAUCCAUGUCUUAAGUUCAAAUGUGUCUCUUCUAUUUUCUAUUACUGACUCCUUUAUUUUGAUUUCUUCAUUGUAAUGGAAUUGGUUUUUUAUUCCAAAUUAGUCAAAACCUCCUAGAGUCAUUAAGUUCUGUUAGCAUUUGAAGAUAGAACUAGAACUAAAUGAUUGACUGGAUUAAAUUCCGAUAAAGAAUUAAGUUAUAUAUUUAGAGAUAUUAUGUUUUUUUUUUUCAUUUGUUCAAUUUGGUUAGUGGUGAUUUCUUAAAGACUCAAUCCAUGUGCGUUUAUGCAUUUUUAUUUUGCCUUAAUUUCUGUUUCUUGGGGAGUUUAUACAGAUUCUUAUUUUAUGCUUCACAUGCCACAUGAAAGAUCGAAGCCUUUUGUGUGAUUAGAACUGACUUGCAUCACAGAAGUAGAUUGAUAGAGUAGAUAAUAGUAGAUUUCGCUUUAGUAUCGGAAAUUCCAUAAUUAUGCUUUUCUCUGCACUAUUUUCAAUAAAAUUAUAAAAAUCAAAACAAAAUUAUUACACAGUAAAGACUUUAGAGACAAGUACCCCCAAUAGGAUCAAGCAAAUAUGCUCUGCACAAAAUUAUUUCUUGUUCUUUUUCUUUUUGACAAUUUUAUUUGUGGUUUCAACUUUUAUGCUUUAUUGUCAUAUCUCGUUGAGGGCUCCGCUGCACCCAUUACAACUUACCCCCAUAUUGUCUUUUACUGACUAAACCGUUAGAUUUGAUGCUGAAUUUUAAUUAUACCAUCAAAUUUCGUUUAGCUCCUUAAACUCCAUUUUAUUUGUAAUUUCUUCAUAAAAUAUUCAAAGCUUCAUCAAGCUCCUAAUGGACCAUCAUGGCUAGGGGUGCGUUAGAGCCGAACUGAAAUAUGUUAGUUCAGUUCAGUUUGGUCAGUUUAAAUUGAAUGGUUUAGGAAAUAUAAACUGAUCAAUUUUAAUUUUGAAUUGAACUGAACCGAAAAUCAAUUGGUUCAGUAUUAGUAUUUUUGCAUAAAUAUAAAUUAUUAGCGAUUAUAAUUAAAUUGGACUAAAAAAAAUUCAAACUAAGGUGAAAAACAUCAAAUCUUAGAUAAUAUAAAAGAAAAAAUAUUAAAUUUUAUAAACCAAAAUGAACCGAAUUAUUUUUACUCAGUUUGGUUCAUAUUUGGUUCGUAAUUUUUUAAACCAAAUUGAUUUAUAUCCACACCCUAAUCAUGGCCCUCUAUCUUCAGUCAUUCACCCUUGAGUUUGAUGCCAAUUGUUGGGUUUCAAAUUAUUAUACACUCAAAUGAAACCCCUCAUAACCAAAAACUAACAGAAACAAUAAGAACACGAUGUUAAUAUCUUAAAUCAAUCACAAAAAAGCACUCAAAAUUAAUUGAUUAGGAGCAAUUAACAACAAAAGAUUUGAUGGUUCAAAAUCAUAAUGUGACCUAGUUCCAUCCAAGAAUCAUACUAAUUGCUUUACUAGUUGUCAAAUUGUUGUGCAAAUUUUAUUAAACUCGCAAGUGCACGAAUCUAUUGUAGAAUAGAUCAAUGGUGACGAGUGUCGAUCCCAUAAGGAGGUUGAUUUUUAAUUAUGUGUAGAAUUAAUGUUCUAUGAGGAUGGUUGGAUUUGUGGUGGAAGUGAUUUAGAUUAUACUAGAAUUUAAAUUGGAAUGGUAGAAUUAAAUUAAAGUGGAAACUAUUAUAAUUGAAGCGCUUGGGUAUUUGGAUCCGUAUCAACAUGCACCAUUGGCUAAAUAUUCCUUAUUAGUAUCAAUUAAAUCAUGAGGGGGGAAUCCACACCUCAUGAACUACACUCUAAUCAAUAUGGUGCUAAGGGCUUAUCGUGCCAAAUAAUAAUAACCUUAUACUAGGGAGUCGGUGAAACUAUGGUAAUAUCUAGACAAGAUUAUUACUAUUUGUCGACGAAAAGUCAAAACAUCCACAAAAAUUAGAGGGGAUGAGAAAGUAAAUUUACCAAUUAAAGCCCAUGGCACAUGUUGAGACUUCACUUUCUACCCAAGCUUGAAAGAAAAUUAGCUACUCAUAAUUAAACUAUGGAUAAAAUGAAAAUUUAUUAAAAUACAUAGAAAAUACAAGAUAGAAAAGAAAUUAUAGAAAAUGGAGCUCAAAAAUGAAUUCAGAGAUGCCAAAUUAGGGGGGAGAGACUCCCUUUUUAUAGAUAUUUGAUUAAAUCAUGGCCAUCGAAUUAAAACCAGUUUGGACACUCAGGAUUGUGCCACGUCAUCAAUCAACAGUACGCGGUUUGAACAGUGACACGGUUUGACCACGCGGUUUGAACAGUCAACCGGCUUGAAUAGUGACGCGGUUUGGUUGAAAAUAAUCCUAUUUAUAUGCAUGUACCGUACGCGCGAUUUUUGGUCUACUAACAUGCUGCAACGUCACCGAUCAACAAUGCGUAAGAAUUUUAUCCAAUAGAAUCGUGACACCUCAUUAGUCAAUGUCACAUUAACGUUCAAUGCCAUGUCAUCGUUCCGUAGGUGUGAAUAAUGUCGUGAACAGUAACAUAGACAGUAUCGUACGUGUAAAUAGUGUUGUGUAUGUGAACAGUGAUAUUUUUCCUUUUAUGCUCCUCCUACAGUUUUCGACUGUUCUAAGUUCAAAAGUGAUGUCCGUUUUGCCGUCUGAUCUCUCGUUUAUUGUGAAAAGACCAUGAUGCCUUUAAAAUAUAUAAAAUACUUAAUUAAAAUAAAACACACAUAAUUAAAUCACAAGAAGCUUAAAUACAUAAAAGUAGAAGUGUUAGUAAGACUUGAAAUGUAAAAUGACGAUUUUCUCCUUUAUAAAUAUACAUUUUCUAACACUCAACACAAAUACAAGAUCACAAGAUUGUUUAUCACUCGACAGAGAAAUUGUUUUUAGAAGAAAUACUCCUCAAUUUUUCUGUUAAUAGUUAUGAAUCAACACCCGCAUAAAGGCUAUUGAUUUACUUUUCCUUAUUUCCAACAUAGUCCAAACACUUUUCAUGUUACAGGCGUAGUGCACCUUCAGAAACUUUACAGCUCCUCUUAAAACCUCAAGCCUAUAGAGUGUAAUUUCGCACUAUAUGCUCAGUCUUCUCAUGAUGUUUCUGAUUUAUUUCUCGGACGAGUAACACUUUUAGCUGUCAUAAUACAAUGUAAUUGACUUUUAGCUGUCAUAAUUUUGAGAUCAUUACUUUUAAUUAAAUGAUCUCCUCUACAGCUUCUACCUAUGUAGUGUUUUAGACCUCUAUAGUUGAUCAAGCAUGUUCAAGGUGAAGGCUUGUUUUCCAAUCUAUAGUCCAAUUAUAGACUGGAAAUGGUUAGGCUUAAUGCACCUUCAAAAGCUUCACAACUUAUAUAGAAACCUUAAGCCUUAUAGAAUGCUACAAAUUUUAAAUCCACAUACUUAGUGCUCUUAUGAUUUGUUUGAUUUUUGCUUAGAUGAAGAGCACUUUAGCUAUAGACUACAUUGUAACUAAUUCAAAGCAUGCCUUAGCUACGAGAUCAUUCAUUCUAGCCAAAUGCCCCCUUUAGAGAUUCUGCUAUUGUUGUGUAUUCAGCCUCUAUAUUUGGCAAAGCAAUUACAUGUCGAAGGCUUGCUUGCUUUCCAGUUAACAGCGCAAUUACAUAGAUUACAGGUGUAACCAGGCAAAGAACUUAGUUAUUCUGCCAAGGUCUCCAACAUACUCCAAAUCCAUAUAACCGCCAGACUUCAAUCUUUAGACUCCAUAGAUCAAACCAUAACUUAGUGUGCCUUUCAAUCUCAGGUAACAUUUUACUGUUUUCCACGUCUUGCCAUGUACUUGCUGCUAACACUAACAAUUUGAGAAAUGUUAGGCAUCGUAAGCAGCCGACAACACUCUUCUUCAUUUCUUCAUUGUCAAUUUCCUUCUUGGAACAUUGCUCCAUUGAGAGUCUACUAUCAUUGCUCCAAUUAUUAUUAUUUUUGUUUUUUUAAAAAAAAAAAUUAACCCUACAAUAAGAGUAUAAGACUAAGCAACGGUCCUUUUUUUUCCCAUUCUUGAGCAUGAAGUAUUUGAGUAUGCAAUAAAAAUUGUUUAUUGAUAAUUAAAAGUUAGUAGUGGGUGGCUUUAGGUUUUGUUUACAAAAUUGACAACAAAUUGAGAUUUUUCAAAUUCAUAGGUAAGAAACUUUUCAUUUAUUCAUAGAUUUUCCGGUUUAAACUUUAAAGAAAACUUAAAAGAAAAAGAUGUAUCAUUAGACUUGUAAUUAAAAAAAUUUAAUAUUGUAUGAUCUGUUCGAUAUGCAUAAUUUAAAUAAACAUUAAUAUAGAUGUUAUAUAUCCUAAAACUUAAUUGACUUAAUUCUUACGGUGCAAGGAAGAGGUUUCCAAGUUUAAAUCUAAAGUCUUGUAUUUAAUUUGGGGUCGGGAAAGCACCGGGAAAUAAAUGUAACAAAGGAAAAAAAAAAAAAAAAGAAUGACAGUCUGAGUGGAGCCAACACGGUUUUGAAAAAAGUGCAAAAAAGGGUUUAAAAAAAAAAAACGCGGUUUGUAAAGGAAAUAAAAGCUUUUCAUUGAAUUAAGACCACUACACUCAAAUACUCUAUUAUCACCAACGAGGUCGUGGUCUAGUGGUGCCAGGGGCUAGGCUUGGUAGGGCGAACUACGGUUCGAUCCCCCGCACGCACGUUGGGAGGAGUUUAAAACCUUAACCCCGGGACGCGCUCCGAAACCGGAUUAGUCGGCCCGAUGGGUUCGGAUACCGGUUGGUUAGCACCAAAAAAAAAAAAAAAAAAUACUCUAUUAUCGUUUGUUUGCUUGCUUGUGGAAAUAAAAGUCUCAUGUUUCUUUGAAAGGUAAGCAAGUGUGAGUGUUUCUAUCUAGAGCUGGAAAAUGCAUUUCCGUGCAACUUACUUGAUGAAUGAAGUUUUCAUCUCUGACCUUGAUGUUUCCCUGAGCUGCAUUCGUUGCAGCUGAUGUAUUUCAUUUUGUUUUCGAAGGAGUGACACAAAAUCUCCUUUGUUAAGGUGAGAAUUUAGAGUGGCUUUAACUGUUAACAAAUAGCCUAAUGUAAGACUUAAUCAACUUCCUGCCCUGUUGUAUGCUUAUGAAUUUUGAUAGAGUUAUGAGUUUGCAGAAGCUACUGUAUUAUAUGUUGAUAGAGGCUGUAAAAAUGAGGCAGAUCAAACACACGUUUAAAUUUCAGUGACAAUUUACUGGAAGUAAAUUUCCUAUGACCCUACAUGUGACUAAUUGAUGAGAAGUUGACAAAUGACAAAAGAAAUUGUACGAGCUUUGCAGGCUGGCAUGCCGAUAUUGACUGCAUGGCACCAUCCGCCAUUUGGAAGUGAAUAUCAUUAUUCUUUAAUCAACAUGGUGGAGUCCACUGGGACCACACCACAUGGUCAGUCAUAUCUCUAUUCCUCAAUUUUCAGUAUUCCAUACAUCAAAACAAUUUCAGUUUUGUUAUCAAUUAUAAUUUCAUUGUUGGUGACGAUUCUGAUUCCUUUCUUUCUGACAAAACGGAACCAUGUUUGCUGUGGGAGAGAUCUUACUCAACGCCUUCUUUCAGGUGUUGUUCGACAGGUUGGCUUCCCGCGAUUUGCUCAGCUUUGUCCGUCAACUUGGAGGCGGGGUCGAUUCCGAGCUCAAGAAGUGGGAAAGAAAGCUGAAGAUGAUUCAGGCGGUGCUCAACGAUGCAGAGGAGAAGCAACUGACUGACGAGGCUGUGAAGACGUGGCUGGACGAUCUCCAAGACUUGGCUUAUGACGCUGAGGACAUUCUUGAUGAGUUUGCUACUCAAGCUUUGGAAAGCAAGUUGAUGGCGCAAAAUCAGGAUAGCUCUGGCCAGCUUCUCAGUUUCAUCCCGGUUAGUUUGAAUCCGAAUGCUGUUAGGUUCAAUUAUGGCAUGAGGUCCAAGAUUAACGAUAUUACCAGCCGGUUGGAGCAACACUGCAAAGAUAGAAUUGAACUUGGGCUGCAACGGAUUCCUGAAGGGGCAUCAUCAACUGCUGCUGCUGCACACCAGAGGCCACCCAGUUCAAGCGUCCCACCAGAACGUGAAGUUUUUGGUAGAGAAGAAGAUAAGGCCAAAAUUCUUGAUAUGGUAUUGGCCGAUAGCCCAAGUGAUCUUGCCAACUUUGUUGUAAUACCCAUUGUUGGCAUGGGCGGGAUAGGAAAAACAACUCUCGCUCGGGAGGUUUACAAUGACAAGGCCGUUGGAGAUUCCAAGUUUGAUGUAAAAGCAUGGGUUUGUGUAUCUGAUGUCUUUGACGUUUUGGGCAUCUCAAAGGCGCUUCUCGAGUCAAUCACCCGCAGGCCAUGUCUUCUAAACAGUUUAAACGAAGUGCAGGUUGAAUUGAAAGUAGCUGUGGAUAAAAAAAGAUUCUUGCUGGUCUUAGAUGAUGUUUGGAACGAGGACUACAGCUUGUGGGUAGACUUAAAAGCUCCGUUCCUGGGUGCUGCACCAAACAGCAAGAUGAUCGUCACCACACGCAAUUCAAGUGUUGCAUCAACAAUGAGACCCAUUGAUCGUCACCGCAAGCAAUUCAAGUAUUACGAUCUCAAGAGUCUGUUAGAUGAUGAUUGCUGGUCCAUUUUCAUAAACAAUGCAUUUGAAUCUACAGACCUUAGCGCACAUCGAAUUUCAGAAUCGUUCCGCGAGAAAGUUGUUGGCAAGUGUGGGGGCUUGCCUCUGGCAGCAAAAACACUCGGGGGCCUUCUUCGUACUAAAACGCAUGCUGAGUGGGACGGUAUAUUGGAUAGCAAAAUAUGGGAUUUACCUCGGCAAAGCAGCAUUCUUCCCGUGUUAAGAUUGAGUUACCAUCAUCUUCCUUCUCAUUUGAAAAGAUGUUUUGCUUUUUGUGCCAUCUUUCCAAAAGAUUAUGCAUUCACUGAGAGGGAGCUGACUUUCUUAUGGAUGGCUGGAGGUAUUAUUCGACAGUCAAGAAACAAUGAGCAGCUCGAAGAUUUGGGCAGCAAGUGCUUUGGUGAUCUAGUGUCGAGGUCAAUUUUUCAACAAACAGCAAUCUCUGAUAGUUCUAAAUUUGUAAUGCACGACCUUAUCCAUGAUCUUGCUGAAUUGGUCUCUGGAGAAACCAUAUUUAGGUUAGAGGAGGCCAAUACUCUGUCAAGAAGUUUUGAAAGGGUUCGCCAUUCUUCCUAUGCUUGUGGUGAAUAUGAUGGUAAAAAUAUGUUCGAGGUUUUCAAUGAAAUUGAACAUCUACGAACAUUCUUGCCAUUACGCUUACGCAUACGAGGUACUUUUUACAUAACUAGAACGGUUCUAUCCGAUUUGCUGCCAAAGUUCAAAAAAUUGAGGAUGCUAUCUUUAGAAGGAUACUGUAUUGGUGAGUUACCGAUUCCAUUUGAAGAUUUGAGACUUUUAAGGUUUCUCAACCUUGCUGACACUGACAUAAGAAGUUUACCCGAGUCAACAUGCAAAUUGCUGAACUUGGAAAUUUUGAUAUUAAGAAAUUGUUCCCUUUUGAUAAAGCUUCCACCCAAAAUGAGGAAUUUGAUCAAUUUACGCCAUUUGGAUUUAAGAGGUGCGAAGUUGCUGAAGGAGAUGCCAGUCGGAAUGAAAGAGCUGAAGAAGCUUCAAACAUUGUAUAAUUUCAUUGUGGGCAAGGGUGAAACUGCAUCCGGUUUGGAAGAUUUAAAAAGUUUAAACUUUCUUUGUGAUGAACUUUGCAUUGUUGGAUUAGAGAAUGUGAAUAAUCCACAGAAUGCAAGAGAAGCCGCAUUAUGCGAGAAGCGCAAUCUUGAAGCAUUGACCCUAGAUUGGGGGUCUCAAUUUGACAAUUCUCGAGAUGGAGUAGUAGAAGAGGAUGUACUGGAAAUUCUACAGCCUCAUAAAUGUAUUAAAAAGGUGGCAAUCAGGAACUAUGGUGGUGCAAGAUUUCCACAUUGGAUAGGAGAUCCUUUGUUCUCCAAAAUAGAGUUCCUUGAAUUGGAGAACUGUGACAAUUGUGCAUCUUUGCCAUCGCUUGGCCGUUUGAGGUCCAAGAUUAACGAUAUUACUAGCCGGUUGGAGCAACUCUGCCAAGAAAGAAUUGAACUUGGACUGCAACGGAUUACCGGAGAGGCAUCAUCAACUGCUGCUGCUGCACACCUGAGGCCACCCAGUUCGAGUGUCCCAACAGAACGUGAAGUAUUUGGAAGAGAAGAAGAUAAGGCCAAAAUUCUUGAUAUGGUAUUGGCCGAUGCCCCAAGUGAUCAUGCCAACUUUGUUGUAAUACCCAUUGUUGGCAUGGGCGGAAUCGGAAAAACAACUCUCGCUCGGGAGGUUUACAAUGACAAAGCCGUUGGAGGUUCCAAGUUUGAUGUAAAAGCAUGGGUUUGUGUAUCUGAUGUCUUUGACGUUUUGGGCAUCUCAAAGGCGCUUCUCGAGUCAAUCACCCGCAGGCCUUGUCUUCUAAACAGUUUAAACGAAGUGCAGGUUGAAUUGAAAGUAGCUGUGGAUAAAAAAAGAUUCUUGCUGGUCUUAGAUGAUGUUUGGAACGAGGAGUACAGCUUGUGGGUAGACUUAAAAGCUCCGUUCCUGGCUGCUGCACCAAACAGUAAGAUGAUCGUCACCACACGCAAUUCAAAUGUUGCAUCAACAAUGGGGCCAGUUGAACAUUACAAUCUCAGGAGUCUAUCAGAUGAUGAUUGCUGGUCCAUUUUCAUAAAGCAUGCAUUUGAAUCUAGAGAUCUUAACGCACAUCAAAUUUCAGAAUCAUUCCGCAAGAAAGUUGUUGCCAAGUGUGGAGGCUUGGCCCUGGCAGCAAAAACACUCGGAGGCCUUCUGCGUACGACGAGGCAUGAUGCGUGGGAUGAUAUAUUAGAGAGCAAAAUAUGGGAUUUACCUCGACAAAGUGGGGUUCUCCCAGUAUUAAGAUUGAGUUACCAUCAUCUUCCUUCUCAUUUGAAAAGAUGUUUUGCUUUUUGUGCCAUCUUUCCAAAAGAUUAUGAAUUCACUGAGAAGGAGCUGACUUUCUUAUGGAUGGCUGGAGGUAUUAUUCGACAGUCAAGAAACAAUGAGCAGCUGGAAGAUUUGGGCAGCCAGUGCUUUGGUGAUCUAGUGUCGAGGUCAAUUUUUCAACAAACAACAAUCUCUGAUAGUUCUAAAUUUGUAAUGCAUGACCUUAUUCAUGAUCUUGCUGAAUUGGUCUCUGGAGGGACCAUUUUUAGGUUAGAGAAGUCCCCCAACUUGUCGUCAAGCGGAUUUGAAAGAGUUCGCCAUUCUUCCUAUGCCGGCGGUUUGCAUGAUGGUAAAAAUAAGUUUGAGGUUUUCUAUGAAAUUGAACAUCUACGAACAUUCUUGCCAUUACGCUUACGCAUACGAGGUACUUUUUACAUAACUAGAACGGUUCUAUCCGAUUUGCUGCCAAAGUUCAAAAAAUUGAGGAUGCUAUCUUUAGAAGGAUACUGUAUUGGUGAGUUACCGAUUCCAUUUGAAGAUUUGAGACUUUUAAGGUUUCUCAACCUUGCUGACACUGACAUAAGAAGUUUACCCGAGUCAACAUGCAAAUUGCUGAACUUGGAAAUUUUGAUAUUAAGAAAUUGUUCCCGCUUGAUAAAGCUUCCACCCAAAAUGAGGAAUUUGAUCAAUUUACGCCAUCUCGAUAUAAGAGGUGCGGAGUUGCUGAAGGAGAUGCCAUUCGGAAUGAAAGAGCUGAAGAAGCUUCAAAUAUUGUACAAUUUCAUUGUAGGCAAGGGUGAAACUGCAUGCGGUUUGGAAGAAUUAAAAAGUUUAAACUUUCUUUGUGAUGAACUUUGCAUUGCUGGAUUAGAGAAUGUGAAUAAUCCACAGAAUGCAAGAGAAGCCGCAUUAUGCGAGAAGCACAAUCUUGAAGCAUUGACUCUAGAAUGGGGGUCUCAAUCUGACAGUCCUCGGGAUGCAGUACUAGAAGAGAAUGUACUUGACACUCUACAGCCUCAUAAACGUAUAAAAGAGCUGGCAAUCAGGCACUAUGGUGGUGCAAGAUUUUCACUUUGGAUCGGAGAUCCUUCGUUCUCCGAGAUGAAGGUCCUUAAAUUGGAGAACUGUGACAAUUGUGUAUCUCUGCCAUCGCUUGGCCUGUUGAGUUCACUUAAGCACCUUGCUGUUAAAGGGCUGAAGAAACUAAAAAGCAUAGAGUCUGAGGUUUAUGGGGAGGGUUUCUCGAUGCCUUUUCCAUCAUUGGGGAUUCUAAGUUUCGAGAAUUUGCCAGAAUGGGAGCAUUGGGACACCGAGAUCAAAGGAAAUGCGCCUGUUGAUAUAUUUCCUCGUCUCCAAGAACUUUCCAUUGCAGAAUGUCCCAAACUCUCUGGACAACUGCCUGAGCUCCUGCCUUCCUUGGAGACACUUGUUGUUAGUAAAUGUGAAAAGUUAGUAGUUCCAUUGUCAAGUUAUCCGAUGCUCUGCAGAUUAGAAGUUGAUGAGUGCAAGGAGCUAGUGUGCGGGACUCUAAUUGAUUUUAAGUUGAUAAAGUCCAUGACUAUUUCAAAUAGUUCAUUAGACAUGAAUGGACGCAAGGGGAUGCUAUACGAUGGUCUAGCUGGCUCUUCACUUCCAAAGCCCAUGACUACUACAAAUGUUUUGGAGUUUGGAAAAUUAUUGAAGCCUGGAUUUCAGAUAUUAGAAAUUUUGGUAAUUGGCAAUUCUGAACAGCUCAAGUCAUGGAGGCAGCAUGGAGAUUGGAGUACUUCGAUUAAACCAGUACAAGGGCUGAAUAUGCUCGCUCACAAUGAGGAGGUAUCAAUUGAAGAAAGUUGCGUUCGUCUUGUUUUGUUUCCAGAGAUCAAUUUCUUUCCCAGAAAUCUGCGCUCUCUUCUAAUUAACAACAACACUGCUUUCAAAUCCUUACCCGAGGAAAUGAUGGAAAACAAUUCACAACUCGAAAGGUUGUAUAUCAAGGAUUGCGACUCUCUAACAUUCAUCGCAAGACGGAGGCUACCAGCAUCUCUUAAAAGGCUUGAGAUAGAAAAUUGUGAGAAAUUGCAACGUCUGUUCGAUGAUGAAGAGGAUGCUUCUUCUUCUUCUCGUGCAUCCUCGUCUUCCCCAGUGAUGCUGCAACACCUGAUUAUAGAGAACUGCCCAGAGCUCACCAGUUUAUCAUCGGGUGUCCAAUUCCUUGAGGCGCUUGAAUACCUCGAGAUACGGGAUUGUCCAAAGCUGGAGUCAAUACCGGAUGGCCUGCACAAUCUUAAAUGUUUACAGAGCAUUUAUAUACGGAAAUGUCCAAGUCUUGUUUCCUUCCCAGAAAGAGGGCUUCCCAACACGAUUUCAAGGGUUGACAUUUGCAGCUGUGACAAGCUCGAAGCCUUGCCCAAUGAUUUGCACAAACUCAACUCUCUUCGAGGUUUAAGCAUCCAGAUCUGUCCAAAUCUUGUAUCGUUUCCAGAAGAAGGUUUUCCUACCAAUCUAACAUCACUUACAAUUGGAUAUUUCAAAAUGUAUAAGACACUCGUCCAGUGGGGGUUGCACAGGCUUACCUCUCUUAGAGACCUCUGGAUCGUUGAAUGUGAUGAUGAAGCAGAGUGUUUUCCAGACGAGGAGAUAGGAAUGACGCUGCCUGCCUCUCUCACUCAUCUGCAUCUUGAUGGAUUCCAAAAUUUGAUAUCUCUGUCUUCGACGGGUUUUCAGAGCCUAACCUCUCUUCAAUCUUUGUGGAUCUGGGAUUGCCCAAAUCUCACAUCAUUUCCAGAGGUGGGCCUUCCAUCCUCACUUUUGGAAUUACACAUUAGAGAUUGUCCAAAGCUUAAAAAAGCGUGCAAAAGGGAUCAAGGAAAAGAGUUGCCCAAAAUUGCUCACAUCCCUUGCGUUGAGAUAGACGGUAAAUUCAUAUACGAUCCAGAAUCAGAGGAGUAGAUUCUAUUACAAAGGUCAGUUGAUUUGUAUUAUCCGCUAUAACAAGCUCCUCCUAAUUUUUUUUUUCUAAGUAAUAAUUUUGCAGUCACUCACGUGAUUCCGUUUUCACAAGUCAGAUUGUAUGUUGAGGCUAUUUGCCUUUUAAUCGCAGAUUAAAUUAUAACACUUAUCUUAAAAUUUAAUACCAUACACAGAUAGACGAUUUUUUUAUCCAAAGUUUCAAUCAAGAAUUGGAGGAUGUGAAUGGGAUUUUUGUGAAAACAUAAUGGAUGAACGAACAUUUCAUCUGUGAUCUCAAAGUCAACAGAAUUUUAUUUACUCGUUGACUUUUCAACUCCUUGGUUGUUGCUGGGUGAAAGAUAAGGGCAAUUACAAGAUAUUUGCAAACUUUGUCAAUUUCUUAGAUGGUAGAUAUAUCGACAUUUUAGAUUUCAGAUAUUUUGAUGCUUUUUUAAUUUUGAUCUAGUAGAAAUACAUAGCCUUCACCGACAGGAAUUGAAAUUGAAAUUUUUGUCUUCAAUGGGUUUUCAAAGCCUCGCCUCUCUUCGAUUUUUGUGGAUCGGGAAUUGCACAAAUCUCACAUCAUUUCCCGAGGUCGAGGAAAAGAGCGGCCCAAACUUGCUCGCAUCCCUUGGGUUAAUAGAUUCUCUUAUUAAGGUCAGCUGAUUUCUAUUAUCCACUCUGACAAUCUCCUAUUAGUGUUUUUCCUUUUGAAAUUUUUUUUCUAAAAUUUUGCAGUUCCGUAUAAUUGAAAAUGCCACUCACUUGUUUCCUAUUAGUAUGUUGAGGCUAUUUGCUUCCUAUUAGUGUUUGUUAAGGUAAUUAGUGCUCCCUCGUCGGUAUGACUGGAUUUUUUUCACUUCCGUAAAUAUUGCAUUUUAGACUGGCAAAUUUAGCAGUAAUUUUAAUUUGAUACUCUGAUUAAGAAGCCUGAUUAUAGUAGCUGACUUUUUUUGUGUGGUUUGCUGUUGUUUAUUCUUUCGAUUAAUUUCAACAUUAGGUUGAUCUGUUGAAGAACAAACUUGGGUUUGAUUAUGCUUUAACUACAAGGAAGAGCCAGACUUGGAUGCAGGCGUUCGGCUUUUAAUGGGUAAGAACAAAUGUAUGCUUUAACCAUGUUUCUCACUUAUUACAAUGCACGCAUUGAAGGCAUCUGAGCUGAUCCUGAAAAUGUGGUGGAAAUACUUCUCUGUUUACAUAAAAUAGACAAAUAGAGAUCUCUGAUCAUGCCUGAGAAUUCGUUGCAUUUCAAAUUUCUACCAUUGCCAAAAAUAGAAUAAACUAGGGAUACAUUAGCUUAAGACUCAAUUUUGAGAAGGAAGUUUGCACAUGCAGCCUAAAAAAUCAUGUCCGUGUUGUAUACUUGUAUGUUUCUUUGGGAAAUGAAAGAUUCUGUAUGUUCUUUUAUUUCAAGUUUGCUGAAAUCACAUUUGUUUUCGUAGAUGCUUUUGGGAAGGUAACAAGAUCAAUUUCAUAAAUGCUGGGGUAAGAUGCAUCACGCAGUGCUACUCAACAUGAGAAUUCCCGGCCGCAUUAACUGUAUGUUGAGUGAUCGCACAGUACAACCUUUAGAAGCUUGUAAGGAGUAGACAACUAGAUGCGAAUAGUUUCAAUAUGGAUUCACAUCAAAUGAUCUCUUGCCAGUGAUUACUAUAACCUCUAUCCCAAAAUUCUUGGAACUGGUCAUACCAAUAAUGAAGUAUUGUGUAUGUUGAAGACAUAGCUCAAGGCCUUGCGAAAGCUCCGUCAGCCUUUGUAUUGGAAAACAAUUGGUUGUAGUUGCUUCUGAAUGAUAUUAUUAAUAGACACUGUAAAAAUGAAGUGUGCCACUCAUUUUCAGAGCCCUGUUAAGAUGUGUUGGUAAUGUGUUUGAAGGUUGUUUGAUUUAUGUUGUAUUCAGCUAUAAAUCAAAGAUUCAGAACAUGGGUAUGUUACUGGUUUCCAAAUCAAAAAAUUGCCUUGUGAUGUUAGUGUUCAUUGUUUUCACAGGAGAUCAGGUUCCCUGUUGAUGAAUCAAGAAGGCAAACGCAUCCAUGUCUUAAGUUCAAAUGUGUCUCUUCUAUUUUCUAUUACUGACUCCUUUAUUUUGAUUUCUUCAUUGUAAUGGAAUUGGUUUUUUAUUCCAAAUUAGUCAAAACCUCCUAGAGUCAUUAAGUUCUGUUAGCAUUUGAAGAUAGAACUAGAACUAAAUGAUUGACUGGAUUAAAUUCCGAUAAAGAAUUAAGUUAUAUAUUUAGAGAUAUUAUGUUUUUUUUUUCAUUUGUUCAAUUUGGUUAGUGGUGAUUUCUUAAAGACUCAAUCCAUGUGCGUUUAUGCAUUUUUAUUUUGCCUUAAUUUCUGUUUCUAAAGUCUUCAACAGCAUUUUCUUUUUAACCUUUAUCCUCAUGGUUGUUUUUGCAGUUGUUCUUUAAGAAAACAUUUAAAAGGUUCUCUUUAUGGAUUUUUGAAAAUAAUUUUAACAUAAGCAAUUUUCAGAAGCACUUUAGAUGUCUGGCAUUUAGAAAAUUUUAUUCCGGUGUCACAUAAAAUACUUAGGAAGUUAAAUUUAUUUAUUUAUGAGCAUGUGCCAGUGCCCAGUGGCAUCCUCUUCACUUGUGAUAGUCAAAUAUAUUAUACGAUACAAUGUUAGCUUGACUGUAGCACAGAGGAGAAUAGGGUUGGUGUUGGUCUGAACCAGCUUAUGUAACAGCUGCCAAAGGAUAAUUUAAUUGUACUUUGAGUAAAGCUUUUGCGAAUUAAACAAGUGAUAAUUUGUUUCUAUUAAGAAAAACUUAAAGGAUAGGGCUAUUUUAACUCACCAAACUACACAUUAAAAAUCCACUUACAAAAAUAGUUUUUAAUUAUUAAAAUAUUCCUAAAUCAAAUUAUAAUUAUAGACACUAAAAUAUUUUUUUUUUAUAUUUUACCCUUUGAAACUGUCUUUAUAUUCGAUAUUAUAUUUUUUUCUUAAACUCUAAAUUGAUAUUUUUUUUUCAUUUUUGAUUAAUUUUAAAACACAUAUAAAGUUAUUCAUAUUGAUUUUAUACUAACAACUAUUAUAGCACAUUCGAAAAAUAAUUAAAUCGUUCUUAUUUACAUAGUGAAAAUGCAAAUAGCUCAUUCAAAUGUUAAGGAAUUGGAGAGCUGCUGCUGGAGACGAAAGAUGUGAAUUAAACAUCAGAAAAAAAAUUAUGUUCACUAUCUUGCCAGACCAAGCACCGAAAAGCGUCGUAAAGAAAAAUUAGAUAAUUUAGAAGAUAAAGCACGUGGAAUGGAGGCAGAAAGCAAGUAAUGAUAACUCUUUCGACAAACUAAUAUAUAUCAAAAUGCAAUAUCGGCCCUAAUAAAAAAUGAAAAUAAAAAUUCAUUACGAAUACGUGUUAAAGAUAUCCCAAGUAUUAAUGUGACUGAAAUAUUUGAGAUUGAAGAAGAAUUAGGACUCAAAAUCAAUUGGGAGGAAUAAAUGAGAAACCCCAAUACCAAAAAAUACACGCACAAAUCCUAAUACUAAUUGUAAUCACGGAUAAAAAGCAUAAUACAAAUAAAUUACAUGGGCAACUAUUCCAUUGAGAAAUUAAUUAAAUCGUGUAUUAAUAUUUUGUAUACAUAUAUUUUUCUAUAUAUAACUUUUGGUAAUUUAAUUUUCCACUAAUCAUUUUUACUCCAAAAAAUAAUUGAGAAUAUUAUUUAUGUUUUGGUACAAAAUAUUUGAACAAUAUACAAAUUUUCAGUUUAAUAAAUCUAAACAUCUAUUAAGUUAUAAAUGAAUUUAAUGGGUUUAAUUAAUAAAAUUACCAUUAUUAUAUAAAUUGGGUUUAGUAAUGGUAUAUUGGGUGGGUUUGUUGAGUAAAUUUUAAAAUUUAAAGAUGGGUUUAUUUAGUAAAUGAGUUAAGGGAAUAGUUUGUUGGGAUUCACGUAGCCCCACCAAAUUCAAAAGUAAAAUUUUUGAAAAAAAAAAAGCUAUUGAGUUAUUCUUUUAAAAAAAGAAUUAAAAUGUCAAGAAUACCUUUAUUUAAUUUUAUAAUCUUAUUUUAUAGUCAUAUUUUAUUUCCACCUUAACAUAAUUUUAAAAACCUUAACUAAUAAAUUCUAUAUUUUUUUUUAUAAAAGUUAUCAUUAAUAUCCAAACGGCUAAAGAUUUUUUUUUUAAAAAAAAAAAGGAACUAUGCUUACAAAAGUUGUAUACAUUAACAAUAAAUUUAGUCCAAAGAAUAAAGUUAUUCCAAACAAGCACUCCAAUUCAUCUUGCUAAUGAAUCAAGAUGACUGAAUCCUUCUCUAAGCCAAAUCUAUUUUCACUUUUAGGUCAGAAAUUGUCAUUAAAAAAGUGUUUGAUAAAACACGCUCUGGGAACGCUAUUCGUCAUAUGGUUACUCCAAUUUUAUGAAAUCAAUGGGAUUUCAUCAUAUUUAUAACAUUCUUCUUUAAUGUCUAUUCUAACAAAGAAAUCAUAUACAGAGAAAAGGUUUCGUUAAAACUUUUACUAGAAAAACUAACCACAAUUCAUCAUUCAUUUAUAUCUUAAGUAAGCGUAAGAUUUUAUCAUUAAAAUCCCAUCAUGAAAAAACUCAUGGGAGAAAAACUAUAAAAAUUGAAGAAAAAAGAGUAUGGCGUGCAUGUAAAUUAUAUCGAUUUUAUCUAUAUGACAAAUAAGACUCUCUUUUACAAUGGCACGGAUGCUUCAUUGAGUAAUCAUGAUUCUUGCUGGUAGUGCUUUGUUGUAUCAAUCUGCUAGCUAUUCAGCUUUCUUUCUUUCUUUCUUCUUUUUAUUUUUUUGUUUUCAAAUAGCUUGUGGUUGUAGAAAUAUUUCAAUUAAACUAUACUUAAGUACUUAUUUGGUAUAACUUCUUUACUAGCUAAAAGAAUUUUUUUUUUUUUUGGUUUUUUAUAAUUUAAUUAUACUUUAACUAGAGUUUUUGGGAUAAAACAAGUGAUAAUUUCUCUCUAUUAAGAAAAACUCAAAGGGUAGGGUUAUCUCAAUCCACCAAACUAUUUAUGAAAAAUCCACUUAUGAAAAUAGUUUUUAAUUAUUAGAAUGCCUCUAAAUUAAAUUACAAUUAUGGACACUAAAAUAUAGUAAAUUUUUUUUUUAUUUUUUAAAACCGUCUUUACGUUCGGUAUUAUAUCUUUUUCUUAAAAUCUAAAUUGAUAUUUUUUUUAUUUUUGAUUAAUCUCAGAACACGUAUAAAGUGAUUCAUAUUGGUUUUAUACUAACAAACUAUCAUAGCACAUUCGAAAAUAAUUAACUCGUUCUUAUUUGCAUAUGAAAAGGCAAAUAGCUCAUCCAAAUGUUAAAGAAUUGGAGAGCCGCUGCUGGAGAUGAAAGAUGUGAAAAGCAUGGUAAAGAAAAAUUACAUAAUUCUCACUUAGAAGAGGGAGAAAAAAAAAAUACAAUUAGAAUGAGAGGUAGGCAGUAGCCAGUAGCCAGUAGCCACCAUCACCAGUGAAACUAUUUCACAUAAUAGAAGAUAAAGCACGUGUAAAUGGAGGCAAAAAGCAAGUAAUGAUAACUCUUUUCGACACACUAAUACAUAUCAAAAUGCAAUAUCGGUCCUAACAAAAUGAAAAUAAAAAAUUCAUUACGAAUAUGUGUCGAAAUAAGACUCAAAAUCAAUUGAGAGGAAUAAAUGAGAAACUGUAAUACUAAUAAAAUACAUUCACAAAUCCUAAUGCUAAUUAAAAUCACGGAUUAAAAAAAAUAAUAUGAAUAAAUUACAGGCGCAACUGUUUCAUUAAGAAAUUAAUUCAAUCGUGUAUUAAUAUUUUGUACACAUACAUUUUCCAUAUAUAACUUUUGGUAAUUUAGUUUUCCACUUAUCAUUUUUACUCCAAAAAAAUAAUUGAGAAUAUUAUUUAUGUUUUGAUGCAAAAUAUUUAAACAACGUACAAAUUUUCAGUUUAAUAAAUCUAAACAUUUCUCAAGUUAUAAAUGAAUUUAAUGGGUUUAAUUAGUAAAAAUACUAUUAUUUUAUAAAUUGGGUUUAGUAAUGGUUAUUGGGUAUUUAAAUGGGUUUGUUGAGUAAAUUUUAAAAUUUUAAAGUUCAAGGGUGGGUUUAUUUAGUAAAUGGGUUAAGGCAGCAAUUUUCCAAACUACAAUUUUUGGAAAAAGAGGCUAUUGAGUGUUUUUUUUUUUUAAAAAGAAUUAAAAUGUUGAGAAUACCUUUAUUAAUUUUAUAAUCUUAUUUUAAAAAAUUUACCCAAUAAAUUUUAUAAUUUUUUAUAAAAAUUAUCAUUAACAUCCAAACAGCUAAAGAUUUAAAAAAAAAAAAGAAGAAGGGAACUGUACUAGCAAAAGUUAGAUUAACAAUAAAUUUAGUCCAAAGAAUAAAGUUAUAGCUAAAAAGUGCUCCUAUCCUACUUUUCUGUAUUUUAACAAUAAUCUUCCAAUCCGUUUUACAAUGGACUUUAACAAAUGGGCUCAAUCUCUAAACUUCAUUUUCUUUUGCUUACCCAUGGCCAUUAGCCAGAAAGCCUAAAACAAUUUUAGGAUCACAUGUGUAAAUGGAACUCCAAGAUUGAUCAAGAAUUAACAAGACAAGAUGAAGAGAUGAUCUUGUAACUAAGAAUGAAGAAAUUGAAUCAAGACAGUACUCUAGUAAAACCCAGAAAACAGAGCUUGAAGAAUCACGCACAAAGCAGUAAAUUUGUAAAACCAGAAUUGGAGCUUCACUUCUCAAGAGAGACGAAACAGGAUACAAUCUAGCUUUGGUCAACUUCGUUUGGCCACGUCAUAAAGUCUUCCCCCACAGUCUUUCCCGCCAAAACAGAAAAGCUUUAAAAGCCAUUUACCUUCCUGAGUUACUUGCUCCUAUUACAUCAAGGCCCUGUAAGUCUAUAUUUAUUAUUACAAAAGCACCCUUAAACUGAGAUUUGAAGCAUACUUCAACAAUGUUGAAGCGCAUGAUUUCACGGCUAUGUUGCAUCGUCAAUUUUAGUGCUUUACAGUUAAGGGAUAGUUUAAAUUCAUUACAAAGCAUUCGCAAAGAAAUUGUUUUUAAAUGAAACUCCUCGUCUUGACCAGAUUAUUUAUUAUUAUUAAAAAAAAAAUGUUCAAAACUUAGCCAAAGUGAUAAACUCGUAAUUUUUCUACAAAGGGAACAAUUUUGAAAGGUCGGAAAUUCCAUAAUUAUGGUUUUCGGUGAAUUAUUUUAAAUAAAAUUAUAAAAACCAAUAUAAAAUUAUUACCCAGUAAAGACUUUAGAGAGACAAGUGCCCCCAAGAGGAUCUAAGUGAAUAUGCCCCACAAAGAUCACAUGAUCAUUUCUUGUUCUUUUUCUUUUUGACAAUUUUAUCUGUGGUUUCAACUUUUAUGCUUUAUUGUCGUAUCCCGUUGAGGGCUCCGCUGCACCCGUUACAACUUACCCCUAAAUUGCCUCUUACUAACUAAACCGUUAGAGUUUAUGGAAGCGCGUUCAAUGCUGAAUUUUAAUUAUGUCAUCAAAUUUCGUUCAGCUCCUUUAACUCCAUUUUAUUUGUAAUUUCUUCAUAAAAUAGUCAAAGCUUCAUCAAGCUCCUAAUGGACCAUCAUGGCUAGGGGUGCAUUAGAGCCGAACUGAAAUAUGUUAGUUUAGUUCAGUUUGGUCAGUUUAAAUCGAAUGGUUUAGAACAUAUAAACUGAUCAAUUUUAAUUUUGAAUUGAACCGAACCGAAAAUCAAUUGGUUCACUAUUAGUAUUUUUGUAUAAACACGAAUGAUUAGUGAUUAUAAUUAAAUUGGACUAAAAAAAUUCAAAACUAAGGUUAAAAAAAAUUCAAACUAAGGUGGAAAAAAUAAAAUCUUAGACAAUAUAAAAGAAAAAAUAUUAAAAAAUUUUAACCGAAACGAACUGAAUUAUUUUGACUCAGUUUGGUUCAUAUUUGGUUCAAAAUUUUUUAAACCAAACUAAUUUAUUCCCACCCCCUAAUCGUGGCCCUCUAUCUUUAGUCAUUCACCCUUGAGUUUGAUACCAAUUGUUGGGUUUCAAAUGAUUAUACACUCAAAUGGAACCCUCAUAACAAAAAAACUAACAGAAACAAUAAGAACACGAUGUUAAACUCUUAAAUCAAUUGCAAAAAAGCACCCAAAACAGAUCAAUUAGGAAUAGUUAACAACAAAAGAUUUGAUGGUUCAAAAUCAUAAUGUGACCUACUUCCAUCCAAGAAUCAUACUAAUUGCUUUACUAGUUGUCAAAUACAUGAUCACAAGAUUAUUUAUCACUCUAUAGAGAAAAACUUUUUAGAAUAAAUACUCCCCAAUUUUUCUCUUAAUAGUUAUGAAUCAACACCCCUAGAAAGGCUAUUGAUUUACUUUUCCUUAUUUCCUAUGAUCGGUUGCUGCAACUUAAUCCUUGCCAAGCUCCAACAUAGUCCAAACACUGUUCAUGGUGCAUGCAUAGUGCACCUUCAGAAACUUUACAGCUCUUCUUAAAACCUCAGGCCUAUAGAGUGCAAUUUCCCACCUAUAUGCUUAGUCCUCUCAGUUCUCGUGAUGUUUCUGAUUUAUUUAUCGGACGAGUAACACUUUUAGCUGUCAUAAUACAAUGUAAUUGACUUCUGAGCAUGACUUAAUUUUGAGAUCAUUACUUUUAGUUAAAUGAUCUCCAGAGCUUCUACCUAUGUUGUGUUUUUAGACCUCUAUAGUUGAUAAAGCAUGUUCAAGGUGAAGGCUUGUUUUCCAAUCUAUAGUCCAAUUAUAGACUGGAAAUGGUCAGGCUUAAUGCACCUUCAAAAGCUUCACAAUUUGUAUUGAAACCUUAAGCCUUAGAAUGCUACAAAUUUUAAAUCCAUAUACUUAGUGCUCUUAUGAUUUGUUUGAUUUUUUCUUAGAUGAGGAGCAUUUUAGCUAUAGAAUACAUUGUAACUAAUUCAAAGCAAGCCUUAGCUACGAGAUCAUUCAUUCUAGCCAAAUGCCCCCUUUAGAGAUUCUACUAUUGUUGAGUAUUCAGCCUCUAUAUUUGGCAAAGCAAUUACAUGUCGAAGGCUUGCUUGCUUUCCAGUUAACAGCGCAAUUACAUAGAUUAAAGGUGUAACCAGGCAAAGAACUUAGUUAUUCUGCCAAGGUCUCCAACAUACUCCAAAUCCAUAUAACCACCAAACUUCAAUCUUUAGACUCCAUAGAUCAAACCAUAACUUAGUGUGCCUUUCAAUCUCAGGUAACAUUUUACUGUUUUCCACGUCUUGCCAUGUACUUGCUGCGAACACUAACAAUUUGAGAAAUGUUAGGCAUCGUAAGCAGCCGACAACACUCUUCUUCAUUUCUUCAUUGUCAAUUUCCUUCUUGGAACAUUGCUCCAUUGACAAUUUACUGGAAGUAAAUUUCAAUGACAAUUUACUGGAAGUAAAUUUCCUAUGACCCUACAGGUGACUAAUUAACGAGAACUUGACAAUGACAAAAGAAAGUGUAUGAGCUUUGCAGGCUGGCAUGCCAAUAUUGACUGUAUGGUGGAGUCCACUGGGACCACAUCACAUGGUCAGUCUUAUCUCUAUUCCUCAAUUUUCAGUAUUCCAUACAUCAAACCAAUUUCAGUUUUGUUAUCAAUUAUAAUUUCAUUGUUGGUGACGAUUCUGAUUCCUUUCUUUCUGACAAAACGGAACCAUGGUUGCUGUGGGAGAGAUCUUACUCAACGCCUUCUUUCAGGUGUUGUUCGACAGGUUGGCUUCCCGCGAUUUGCUCAGCUUUGUCCGUCAACUUGGAGGCGGGGUCGAUUCCGAGCUCAAGAAGUGGCAAAGAAAGCUGAAGAUGAUUCAGGCGGUGCUCAACGAUGCGGAGGAGAAGCAACUGACUGACGAGGCUGUGAAGAUGUGGCUGGACGAUCUCCAAGACUUGGCUUAUGACGCUGAGGACAUUCUUGAUGAGUUUGCUACUCAAGCUUUGGAAAGCAAGUUGAUGGCGCAAAAUCAGGAUAGCUCUGGCCAGCUUCUCAGUUUCAUCCCGGCUAGUUUGAAUCCGAAUGCUGUUAGGUUCAAUUAUAGCAUGAGGUCCAAGAUUAACGAUAUUACUAGCCGGUUGGAGCAACUCUGCAAAGAAAGAAUCGAACUUGGACUGCAACGGAUUCCUGAAGGGGCAUCAUCAACUGCUGCUGCUGCACAUCAGAGGCCACCCAGUUCAAGCGUCCCACCAGAACGUGAAGUAUUUGGAAGAGAAGAAGAUAAGGCCAAAAUUCUUGAUAUGGUAUUGGCCGAUAGCCCAAGUGAUCAUGCCAACUUUGCUGUAAUACCCAUUGUUGGCAUGGGCGGGAUAGGAAAAACAACUCUCGCUCGGGAGGUCUACAAUGACAAGGCCGUUGGAGAUUCCAAGUUUGAUGUAAAAGCAUGGGUUUGCGUAUCUGACGUCUUUGAUGUUUUGGGCAUCUCAAAGGCACUUCUCGAGUCAAUCACCCGCAGGCCUUGUCUUCUAAACAGUUUAAAUGAAGUGCAGGUUGAAUUGAAAGUAGCUGUGGACGGAAAAAGAUUCUUGUUGGUCUUAGAUGAUGUUUGGAACGAGGACUACAGCUCGUGGGUAGACUUAAAAGCUCCAUUCUUGGCAGCUGCACCAAACAGUAAGAUGAUCGUCACCACACGCAAUUCAAAUGUUGCAUCAAUAAUGGGACCAAUUGAACAUUAUAAUCUCAAGAGACUGUUAGACGAUGAUUGCUGGUCUAUUUUCAAAACGCAUGCAUUGGAGGGUAGAGAUCAUAAUGCACUUGAAAUCUCAGAAUCAUUCCGCAAGAAAGUUGUUGGCAAAUGUGGAGGCUUGCCCCUUGCUGCAAAAACACUCGGAGGCCUUUUGCGUACGACGAGGCAUGAUGCGUGGGAUGAUAUAUUAGAGAGCAAAAUAUGGGAUUUACCUCAACAAAGUGGGGUUCUCCCAGUAUUAAGAUUGAGUUACCAUCAUCUUCCUUCUCAUUUGAAAAGAUGUUUCGCUUACUGUGCAAUCUUUCCAAAAGAUUAUGAAUUCAAUGAGAAGGAGGUGACUUUUUUAUGGAUGGCCGGAGGAAUUAUUCGACAGUCAAGAAGCAAAGAGCGGCUAGAAGAUUGGGGUAGCAAGUGCUUCUAUGAUCUGGUGUCAAGGUCAAUUUUUCAGCAAACAGCAAUCUCUGAUAGUUCUAAAUAUGUAAUGCAUGACCUUAUUCAUGAUCUUGCUGAAUUGGUCUCUGGAGGGACCAUUUUUAGGUUAGAGAAGUCCCCCAACUUGUCGUCAAGGGGAUUUGAAAGAGCUCGCCAUUCUUCCUACGCCAGUGAUUGGUGUGAUGGUAGAAAUAAGUUUGAGGUUUUCUAUGCAAUUGAACAUCUACGAACAUUCUUGCCAUUACGCAUAAGAGGUGGCACUAAUACUAGUUACAUAACUAGAACGGUUCUAUCUGAUUUGCUGCCAAAGUUCGAAAAAUUGAGGAUGCUAUCUUUACAAGGAUACUGUAUUGGUGAGUUACCGAUUCCAUUUGAAGAUCUCAGACUUUUAAGGUUCCUCAACCUUGCUGACACUGACAUAAGAAGUUUACCCGAGUCAACAUGCAAAUUGCUGAACUUGGAAAUUUUGAUAUUAAGAAAUUGUUCCCGCUUGAUAAAGCUUCCACCCAAAAUGAGGAAUUUGAUCAAUUUACGCCAUCUCGAUAUAAGAGGUGCGACGUUGCUGAAGGAGAUGCCAUUCGGAAUGAAAGAGCUGAAGAAGCUUCAAAUAUUGUACAAUUUCAUUGUGGGCAAGGGUGAAACCGCAUGCGGUUUGGAAGAAUUAAAAAGUUUAAACUUUCUUUGUGAUGAACUUUGCAUUGCUGGAUUAGAGAAUGUGAAUAAUCCACAGAAUGCAAGAGAAGCCGCAUUAUGCGAGAAGCACAAUCUUGAAGCACUGACUCUAGAUUGGGGGUCUCAAUUUGACAAUUCUCGAGAUGCAGUAGUAGAAGAGCAUGUACUGGAAAUUCUACAGCCUCAUAAACGUAUAAAAAAAGUGGCAAUCAGGAACUAUAGAGGUGCAAGAUUUCCACAUUGGGUAGGAGAUCCUUUGUUCUCCAAAAUAGAGUUCCUUGAAUUGGAGAACUGUGACAAUUGUGUAUCUUUGCCAUCGCUUGGCCGUUUGAGUUCACUUAAACACCUUGCUGUUAAAGGGCUGAAGAAACUAAAAAGCAUAGAGUCUGAGGUUUAUGGGGAGGGUUUCUCAACGCCUUUUCCAUCAUUGGAGGUUCUAAGUUUCGAGAAUUUGCCAGAAUGGGAGCAUUGGGACACGGAUAUCAAAGGAAAUGUGCUCGUUGAAAUGUUUCCUCGUCUCCAUAAACUUUCCAUUGUGGAAUGUCCCAAACUCUCUGGGGAACUGCCUGAGCUCCUGCCCUCCUUGGAGACACUUGUUGUUAGUAAAUGUGAAAAGUUGGUAGUUCCAUUGUCUCGCUAUCCGAUGCUCUGCAGAUUAGAAGUUGAUGAGUGCAAGGAACUAGCGUGCGGUCGUCCAAUUGAUUCUAAGUUGAUAGAGUCCAUGACUAUUUCAAAUAGUUCAUUAGACGUGAAUGGACGCAAGGGGAUGCUAUAUGAUGGUCCAGCUGGCUCUUCACUGCCAAAGCCCAUGACUACUACAAAUGUUUUGGAGUUUGGAAAAUUAUUGAAGCCCAUGAUUGCUACAAAUGCUUUGGUAAUUGGCAAUUCUGAACAGCUCAAGUCAUGGAGUUUUUUUAUUGAACCAGGGCUACAUUUGCUCGCUCACAAUGAGGAGGUAUCAAUUGAAGAAAGUUGCGUACGUCUUGUUUCGGUUCCAGAGAUCAAUUUCUUUCCCAGAAAUCUGCGCUCUCUUCGAAUUUGCAACAGCACAGCUUUGAAAUCCUUACCCGAGGAAAUGAUGGAAAACAAUUCACAACUGGAAAGGUUGUAUAUCAGAGAUUGCGACUCUCUAACAUUCAUCGCAAGACGGAGGCUACCAGCAUCUCUUAAAAGGCUCGAGAUAGAAAAUUGUGAGAAAUUGCAACGUCUGUUCGAUGAUGAAGAGGAUGCUUCUUCUUCUUCUUCUCCUGCAUCCUCGUCUUCCCCAGUGAUGCUGCAACACCUGAGUAUAGAGAACUGCCCAGAGCUCACCAGUUUAUCAUCGGGUGUCCAAUUCCUUGAGGCGCUUGAAGACCUCGAGAUACAGCAUUGUCGAAAGCUGGAGUCAAUACCGGAUGGCCUGCCCAAUCUUAAAUGUUUACAGAGCAUUUAUAUACGGGAUUGUCCAAGUCUUGUUUCCUUCCCAGAAAGAGGGCUUCCCAACGCCAUUUCAAGUUUUGACAUUUCCAGAUGUGACAAGCUCGAAGCCUUGCCCAAUGAUUUGCACAAACUCAACUCUCUUCGAGGGUUAAGCAUUCUGCGGUGUCCAAAUCUUGUAUCGUUUCCAGAAGAAGGUUUUCCUACCAAUCUAACAUCACUUACAAUUGGAUAUUUCAAAAUGUAUAAGACACUCGUCCAGUGGGGGUUGCACAGGCUUACCUCUCUUCGAGACCUCUGGAUCAUUGGAUGUGAUGAUGAAGCAGAGUGUUUUCCAGACGAGGCGAUAGGAAUGACGCUGCCCACCUCUCUCACUGUACUGGGCCUUACGGGAUUCAAAAAUUUGAUAUCUCUGUCUUCGACGGGUUUUCAGAGCCUCAACUCUCUUCGAUCUUUGUGGAUAUUGGGUUGCCCAAAUCUCACAUCAUUCCCAGAGGUGGGCCUACCAUCCUCACUUUUGGAAUUACACAUUGGAGAUUGUCCAAAGCUUAAAAAAGCGUGCAAAAGAGAUCAAGGAAAAGAGUGGCCCAAAAUUGCUCACAUCCCUCUGGUUUUGAUAGACGGUAAAUUCAUAUACGAUCCAGAAGCAGAGGAGUAGAUUCUACUAUUAAGGUCAGUUGAUUUGUAUUAUCAGCAAUAACAAGCUCCUCCUAUUUGUUAAGGUAAUCACUCACAGAUGAAAUUAUAACUUUUAUCUUAAAUUUAUUGCCAUUGACAGAUGGACGAUUUUUAGUCCAAAGUUUUGUUAUUCACUUCAAUCAAAAUUUUAGAUUGCAGAUUUUUGUCAAUUAUUUCAUUUUUUAUUUUAUUUUAAAGCAGAAUUGGAUUAUAACAUUUGGAGCGCGACGACUCUGAUGCAUGCAAUUAACUGUUUUUAAUCGUUGGAUUUUGAAAUUAAUGAUGGUAAGAUGUGUACUUAUUUUUUCUUCCGGACAACCUUGCCUUCUUUCUUCGGUAGCAUAUCUAAUGAAUAUUUCUCUGUUUAGUUAAGGAUGAAUGCUUGGAGUGGAGUAUUUGAUAACAUUUCUGCCGUAGAUGAAUCCUUGAAGAAAUGCCUGCACUUCCUGAGACCAAAUACUGGUCUGAUUCAAAACAGCACCUGUCCCAGAAAAUAUGAUUCAAGACAAAGCCAUGUUCUGAAGCAGAAAUGAUGCAUUUCAAAUUUUGAAAUGAUGCAGAAAUGAUACAACAGUUGCAGUAUCCGAGGUACCUUUUCCAUUUAACUGGCCUUUAUUUGUUUUGCUUGUGACUUAAGAACACAUCAUUUUCCAGAGAUUUGGAGAAGCAUCUCAAGAUGCUUAACAAACUUGACAAGCUUCAAGAUGCACUUGCUCCCAAGCCUUGAUUCUUCACAAUGGAAAACCUGUGAGUACACUUAUGCCCGCAAUUAUUGUUAAGUGUUUGCAAUUUUGAUGCAGCGAAAUGGUUUGUGGAUGCAAAGCUUUAAAACUGUUAAGAACUACCCUGCAGGCUUGUUGGAUGUUGUAUACUUCAAAAGCCACCAACACCAAGAACUACAACAGCAAGACUAGGUUUGCGUUGCUUCAAUCAGCUGAAAUAAUGAUGCAAAUUGACACUAUCAAGCUGGACUUAGAGACUAGUCAGGUCAAUCAUCCAUUUCAUCAACAGUUAAUGUCAUGAUGGUGGCUAUCAGAGGAAACAAAAGAUCUGUUGGAAUCAAUUCAAACAGUGAGAAGCAUGAGAGGAGCUUUGAUUAUAAAUAGGCUCAAUGAGCUCAUGCUGGUAAGUGGUAAUUAAGAAAUUUGUGAGCUUAGUAUAGUUUCAAUUUUUUUCUGUUUGGGAUAUAGUUGAUAAGUUGAUACUCUGAUUAAGAAGCCUGAUUAUAGUAGCUGACUGUGCUAACUGCGUUCUUUUAUUUUUUAUUUUUUUGGUUUGCUGUCGUUUUUUCUUUUGAUUAUUUGUUCAACAUUAGAUUGAUCUGUUGAAGACUUUGAGGAAGAUCCAGACUUGGAUGCAGGCGUGCAGCUCUUAAUAGGUGAGACCAAAUGAAUGCUUUAACCAUGUUUCUCACUUAUGACAAUGCACGGAUCGAAGGCAUCUGAGUUGAUCCAGAAAAUGAGAUGGAAAUACGUCUCUGUUUUCAUAAAACAGAACAAAUAGAGAUCUCUGAUCACUCCUGAGAAUUCAUUGCAUUGAAAUUUCUACCAUUGCCAAACAUAGAAUAAACUGGGGAUACAUUAGCUUUAGACUCAAUUUUGAGGAGGAAGUUUGUACUUGCAGCCUAUAAAAUCAUAUCCCUGUUGUAUGUUUCUUUGGGAAAUGAAAGAUUCUGUGUGUUCUUUUAUUUCAAGUUUGCUGAAAUCACAUUUGUUUUCUAAGAUGCUUUACAGAAGGUACCAACAUCAUUUUCAAAAAUGCUGGGGUAAGAUACAUCGUGCAGUGCUCCUCAACAUGAGAAUUCCUGGCCGCAUUACCCAUAUGUGGAAUGAUCUGAGAGUACAACCGUGAGAAUGUUGUAAGGAGUACACAACCAGAUGUGAGUAGUUUGAAAAUGAAUUCGCAUGGAAUGAUUUCUUGCCAGUGCAGAAAUGGCUUGGUUCAAAAGUGCUCAGCUUCAUUGACACUCUUCGGUAGGCCUCUCCGUCCUUCCAUUCUUAACUACAAUACUACUCUUGUCUGUCUAGUUAUGGAAUCUCUCUUUUAAUCCUCAAAGUUUGAAUUAUAUUAUAUUGCCUCUGUGUUUCCGCAGAAACUGAGUCAGUUGGUGAUCCUUCAAAACAAGAAAAACCAAAAACAGAUACAGCGCGCGAUAAGAUAAUGAGACAGAUGGCUCCCGUUGCUGCAUGCCACUUGCUUGUGUGCGUAUUGGGACCAUCAUCAACAACACUGAUGUAAACCCAGCUCAAGGUGGGAAGCUAGUUCGAGCUGCAGGGACGUUAACCAAGAUUUUGAGAAAGAACCCACUUCAAGGUAUUGCUUAGUUAGGCUACGUUGUGGAAAUGAGAAAGUGAUUGACCCUAGAUGUCGCGCCACCAUUGGUACAGUGUCUAACCCCAGCCAUGGAGCUAAAAAGCUUAGUAAGGCAGGUCAGAGAAGUUGGUUGGGUCGAAGAGCUGUGGUUAGAGGAGUAGCCAUGAUUCCAGUUGAUCACCCUCAUGUUGAACGAAGCAAAAGUAGCGGUAACAAUGGAAGGUGUUCACUCACACCUUGGGGCAAGCCUUGUAAGUCUGGGAAUUAAACUGCAUCUCCUAAGAAGAAAGAGAAAUCAGCUGUCUGAUAAUAUUGUCCUUUUCUGCUAUUUGGUCUUUUUAACAUUGUUACACUGUUUUUACAUCUUUGAGGUUAGUUUUAGACCAAUUUUUAACUGAUCCAUAAUAAAAAUUGAAGUUUAAUUUUUGAUUAACUUUCACUGGUUUUACUCUUCUGUCACUUCAAUUUAGCAUUGAUUUAAGAUGCUGAAUUCUGUGCUUGGAGCUUGUAAAUUGGAAAGAGAUAUUUUGGGAUAGAAUGUAGAUUUUGUGUUUUGCUUUCUCAAGCUAGUUGUGACUUCUUAAAAGAGUCAAUCCAUGUCUUUAUAUAUUUUUCUUUUGUCUUGAUUCUGUUUCUUCAUACAGAUUCUUAUUUUAUGCUUCACAUACCACAUGAAAGAUGAAAGCUUUUUCUGUGAUUAGAAUUGAAUUGCAUCAUAGUAACUUUAAACCACUGUGACAUUUUUAUAAUAGCAGUCUAAGAUCUCCUUGAAGGAUUCAAAAGCAUUUCAUUCGAUAGUCUUGGCUUCCAUUAUAAACUCCUUUAUAUAGAUUGGUUGGUCUCUGUUAAAAGCAAUGCCUGUUUUAAGUAAUCAAAAUUUGGGGUUAUUUCUGAAGUCUUCUGUAUCAUCUGACUAAAUUACAUGAAAGCACACUUGGCUACAAAAAUACAUUUGGGGUUAUUUCUGAAGUAUUCAAUAACACCUUUUCCCCCUUUUUCCCCCAUGGUGGUUUUUUUUAGUUCUCUUUAUAGGUUUCUGAAGUAAUUCCAACAUAAGCAUUUUUUUCAGAAGCACUUUAGAUGUGUGGCAUUUAGAAAAUCUCAUUCCAGUGUUCACACAGUAUAAAGCAUAGAGAGUUGGAUUCAUUUUAUUUACGUACAUGUGCUAGUGCCCACUGGCAUCCACUUUACUUGUAUCGGUCAAAAGUUUUAUGCAAUACAAUAUUAGCGUCGAGGAGAACGGGUUGGUGUUGGUCUGAAUUCUGAUAUUUGAAUAAAUAUAACAGCUCAUGUGACUCCACCACUUUUUACUUGUUCUGUAGUCUGUACCUACCUCCAUUGUCGGCACUGCCCAUACAAGGUCUUUUAGCUUUUUAAAAAGUUUCAUGAUAUUCCUUAGUUCACAUGGAUUUCUACAGUUUGUAGAAAACCUAAUUAGGGCACAUUUAAUUAAUAUGCAGAAGAUUCUUUUUUCUUGCUCACCAAUAAUUCUUUGUACUUAUUUGAAAGAUGUGUUUCAAAAAAAUUAAAAAAAAAAUAUUUGAAAGAUGAGAAAUCCCUUAGCCGAACGACAAACUCAUCUAUCAGUCCUAUAAAAAAAAAAUAAAUAAAUAAACUCAUCUUUUAGUGGUUUUUUUUUUUUUCACUUGUAUUCAGUCGCACAAGUGAAGAUUGUGGGCAAUUUUUCCCUUCAGUAAAAUUCGAAUAGAUGUUUUUAUUCACACAAAUUUUCGAGCUAUGUUUGGGAAACCCUUAAGACUUUGUUACGAUGAUAUGUAUCUAAGCUUUCAACAGACCGUUGAGGUCUUAUUAUCAAAAUACUAUAAAUUUACAAUUCGAUUUUGAUAAGGACUAGUUUAAUAAUGCUGUAAUUUUUAAAAUAAUUACCGUUUACUGUGUUGUAAAAAUAAUCAGUUAUGAAAAGAAUCAAUUAAAUAUUUGGUAAAUUUUAUUUUUAAAAGUGCUUUGAAUUUUAAAAAUAGUCAUAUGUAUUCAGAAAAUCUCACUUCUAAAAUACUGUAAGAAUGCAAAAAACUUAAAAAGACAAAUGUAUAAAAUUUAUUUACACAUGCACUUAUAAAUAUGUGUAUAUAAUAACAUUUUAUGUGUACAUAUAAUAAUUGAUAACUAAAAUAAAUAUUUUUUUUAUUAAUUAUUUUUUUGUCUCAAUAUAAUUGGUAAUACUUUUUUUAAUCUUCGCAUCCUAAGUUUUUUUUUUAUUGUUUUGUACAAAAUUCAAGGUUUGGACUUUUAUAAAAUGUCCACUCAAAAAUAAAUUGUUUUCUAACUAAGAUUUGUUGCUAAUGUAUAACUCAAAGUAAUACUAGAUAUUUGUAAUUUUAUUUCAAAAUUUUUAUUCAAAUGAUAUGGUAACUAAUGUACAUUAGUUGAUAGCAAUUUUUUUUUUUUUUACAAUGUUCAAAUCAAUCAAUUGCAUCAUCUCACCAUUUUAUCAAUUGCAUCAUCUCACCAUUUUUUUAUGAUGUCGUGUUAUUUUAAACGAAUUUUUUAUUUUUAUAUAAGACAUUCUAUGUUUAACAUCAUUUGCAUAACUUGACCUUUUUUUUUUCCUACAAAUAGUAAGUCAAAUUUACUCACCCUAUUUCUACCUAAAAUCUACCUAACACUCAUGCAUCACUGUAAAACAAAUCCAAAGAUUGCGGUACGUUUUUCUUGGUAAGAAAUCAAUAAUUAGGUCAAGUACUACUACUAAGCGUGCUCAAUUAAUUCUAAAAUACGGUGAUCAAACUCAUACUUCACGCAAGAGGAUAAGGGCUGAACCGCAAUUAGGCAUUAUUCAUCCAAAAUUCAUUGACUGGGCAUUCUUUGCAAGUUGUAGCACGGGACAGCUAAGAUUAGCAAAUGAUAUGGACCAUACGCACCCAUACAUUUGUGACAUGUGAAUCUUGGCAUUAAAGGAAAGGUAAUGCACUAAAAUUUAAUAGCGCCCAACUCUUCAUUGAAUGAUUAUCAGAUCCAAUGAGCAUCCUUUGAUUGGAUUAAUUUAAGUCAAUUAUUGGUGGAUUGGGGCCCGCUUGACUCUACCAAAUCGGGCUCCGCCAUAUCACCUAUUAACGACCACCUGUCCUUAUCAUAAAUAGCAAAUGUCACUUGUUUUAUUUUGUAUUUUACCAAAAGUAAAGUCACUACGAACCCAAAUGAAAGUGACCUCAAUUUUGGGGGUCAUGAACUUUGGAUUAUUAUGGACACAAGAGACAAGCGCAAUGUUUCUCAUUUAUCACUGGAUAAGAUUUAAGUUAUCAACCCAACAUUAAUAAAUUCUGCUUGAGAAGUAAAGUUUGAAGCUUCAUUUUGCGAAUAUUCAAUGGUUAACAUUUAAGUAAUUAACCUGAUAUUAAUCCAAUUAAACUUUUUAUGUAAUCCAAGUCAAAAACAUAUUGAUAAACCUAAAUUAAUCUAAUUGGACAUAUUAUUUCAACUUGAAAAGGUGAAUCUAUCAUUUUUCAAUUAAUUUUGAAUCAAGCUAUGUAAAAUAUAAGCUUAUUAAAGACAUAUUUUUAUCAUGUUAAAAUAUCGAAGUACUUCUUACUCAUUUCGUAAUAACAUUAACAAACCUUUUGGUAAAUUUGACAGUCCAAUCAAUUCAGUUGGUUUUUUGUUAUUGAAACUCCAACAAAAUUUAUGACGAUUAUUAAAAACCCAUUAAAAAAAAAUGAAGGUAACUAUUUAAAAAAUUCUAAUUGAAUUAUUUAACAACUACAUUUCAACUAAAUUGUGUUGCUAAUUAACUUCCUCAACUUAAACUAUAUUUUUCUGAAUUAAUUCAUAACAAAUAAUGUUAGAUAUUUUAUUCGAAUAAUAACAUUCAACAUCCUUAUUCUUUAUGAUUAUUGCAUAAAAACAUAUUUUAUCCAUUUACAUCACAUAUGUUCCUAAAUUGUAUAAGAAAAUCACCAAAUUUACUCUUGUAAGUUACUAUAUCAAUGAACAUGAAAUUCACUAAUCAUUAAAGUCUCGGAAUGACAUCAUGAGAGGGAUUCAGUUACAUUUAUUGAUAGGAUUAGAUAUAUGUCUUCUCAAAUAUUAGUAGGAGCAAUUUAACAGAUGCAGCUACUAAAAAUAUAGAAUUACUUAUCUCGUCAAUAACUAACGAUAUUUUUUAUCUAUGCUCAAUAAAUUGUAAUAUUUGUAGAUUGUAACAAUUGUUAAAAAAAAAAAGCUCCCUGAGACUAAAUGACAAAAGGACUGUUUUGAAAUAGAUAGAUAAAAUAUGCCCUUAUUUGAAAAAAUGUAAAACACUAGGGAUCUAAAUGUUAUUAUAAUCCCAUGCACAAAAAUACCAAAAAUAACUAAUAACAACUAACCGAAAAUCCCAGGCGUCAUAUUCCUUUUUUCCGCGUUUUAAAAUGCCCUCUGAUUCAUUCACAGUCAGACGCUGUCGGCAUUUCUCUUCUCUCCCUCUCUCUCCACGUAUUAAAACAUGUAAAGUACGGAAAAAUUUAAAAAAAUUUUAAAAUUACAUAAUUUAAAAGAUAUAAAAUUAUACGGUUUUAAAAUUUUUUUAAAUUUUUUCGUAUUUUAAAAUUUCGGACUAAAAAAUUAUUAUACGAAUACUUCGUAUAACCGCUUUGCGCUUAAAAUCUGUGCCUAACAAACUCACGAAAUCACUCCUCAUUUUCCUCUCUCCCUCUCCUCCUCUCAUUCCCUUUCAAAUCCUUCCACCACCUUCCCCGCCUCUCUCUCUUUCUCUCUCCCCUCACCGCCACAGCUCAACUUUUCCAUGUAAACCACCACGGGCGCCGUCGUUUCAACCUCCCACUCAUCCGACGUCGUUUUGUGUGAAUAAGAUAACGAUUUAAAUUAAAAUACGAAAAUGGAGAACUUAACGGCGCAGUUGAAGCGAGGGAUAUCGCGGCAGUUCUCGACGGGAUCGCUGCGGCGGAGCCUGACGAGGCAGAUGUCGAGGCAGUCGUCGUUCGAUCCGAGGAGGAAUAACAUGAGGUUUAGCUUCGGGAGGCAGUCGUCGUUGGAUCCGAUACGCAGGAGUCCGGUUCAGGACGAGUUGACGGUGCCGGAGAACCUUGACUCGACGAUGCAGCUGUUGUUUAUGGCAUGCAGAGGUGACGUCAAGGGAGUCGAGGAUUUGCUGAACGAAGGCAGUGAUGUCAACAGCAUUGAUCUUGACGGACGGUUUUGGCGAGAAAUCAAAGAAUUAAGAGACAGUAUUUAGUUAAGCUAAUAGUAUUUGUUCUGUUUAGUACGUCGUUUUACCAACAAGCAUCCCGGCAUUGCACGCAUUAAUAAAUUUUUUUUAUCUGUUUGGACUGAUGGUGGUAAAAAAUUCCACAUACUUUAUAUUAAAAAGGAAAAAGGACAAACACACCCCUAAUGUCAACUUGGAGGGGGGUCGAUUCCGAGCUCAAGAAGUGGGAAAGAAAGCUGAAGAUGAUUCAGGCGGUGCUCAAUGGUGGGUAUGACGGCAAAAAUAAGUUGGAGGUUUUCUAUGAAUUUGAACAUCUAAGAACAUUCUUCCCAUUACACAUAAGAGGUGGCUCCAAAACUGGUUACAUAACUCGUGUGGUUCUAACUGAUUUGUUGCCGAAGUUUAAAAGGUUGAGGGUGCUAUCUUUACAAGGAUACCAUAUUGGACCAAUUCCAUUUGAAGAUUUGAGACUUCAAAGUAUAAUUACCCAAAGUAUAAUUACCCAAAGUAUAAUUACCCAAAGUGUAUACAAUAAAAGCCAAAUUUAAGAAAUUCCUCAACCUUGCUGACACUGACAUAAGAAGUUUACCUGAGUCAACAUGCUCAAUGUUGAACUUGGAAAUUUUGAUAUUAAGAAAUUGUUUCCGUUUGAUGAAACUCCCGCCCAAAAUGAGGAACUUGGUUAAUUUACACCCAGACUCUUUUCUUUUGACAUGGGGUUAACGAUCAAAGUUGGUUUCGUGCGGUAUAUAUUUACAAAUUGAUAGGUAUGCCUGGUAUGACUGCUUAUGCUGGAUUUUAUGAGGUGUGCUCUCCUAAGCAAGGAGAGUGGGUCUUAAUAUGGGCAAGGGUGCAGUUGGUCAGCUUAUGGGGCAGUUUGCAAAGUUACUGGGCUGCUAUGUUGUCGGAAGUGCUGGAAGCAAAGACCAGGUAUACAAACAAACAAUCCGUAUCAGUUGCUUGAUUGUUCCCAUUUUGCUUUCAAAAUAUCUAACUUACAUAAGGAAAAUUUUCACCAUCUCGUCUUUUCUUUGAUUUUGAACGCUAAGAUUGAUCUACUGAAGAAUAGGCUUGGGUUCGAUGAGGCGUUCAACUAUAAAGAAGAUCCUGAUUUGAAUGCAGCCUUGAUAAGGUUAGUAUAUCAGCAAACUACAAAUUAGAAGACAUUUUUUCCUGAAAAUCAAAUAACGUUUCUAAUUUGACAGGUGCUUUCCUGAAGGCAUUGACAUAUACUUUGAAAACGUUGGUGGGAAAAUGCUCGAUGCGGUGCUGAUCAACAUGAAAAUCGGUGGUCGAAUUGCUGUGCGUGGGAUGAUCUCGCAGUACAACCUUGACGAACCCAAAGGCGUACACAACUUGACGCGUCUUAUUUCGAAACGGGUUCGGAUGGAAGGAUUCCUCGUAUCGGAUUACAAUAAACUCUAUCCGAAAUUUCUGGAAAUGAUCAUUCCUCACAUCAAGGGGGGAAAGAUUGUAUACAUUGAAGACACGGCUGAAGGUCUUGAGAGUGCUCGGGCAGCUCUCGUCGGUCUGUUCUCUGGCCGGAAUCUCGGGAAACAGGUGGUUGCAGUUGCUUCUGAAUGAAUGAAGGAUUUGGUUGUUUACAUCAUGCUUCUACUCGUCCAUUUAUUUAAUAAAAUGGUUACGCUCAAUGAGUGUAAUUUUUAUGAUGCUAAAUUAAAUGUGGAAUGUGGCUGCUGGUUUGAUAAUGUUAAAAGUGCUAAAAAAUUUCAUGUUAGGCGCGGUGUGCGUCUGUAUAUCAUUUUUAGGUACGGGCAUUCUAUCUUUUUUUUUAAUUAAUACAGACACAUUCUUAAACUGUAUGGUUUAAGAGAGAGUUAAAAAAAACUUUUACCACAUGGUUUAAAAGCGUAUCCGUAUGGGAAAAAAAUGAAAGUCCAUUGGAGAAGAAUUUUAUAUAUAGUCCAGGAUAUUAAAGUACGGAAAAACUAUAGAGUUUUAAAAACUUAAAAUUUAAAACGUUUAAACUGCACGAUUUAUGUGUUUUUCGAUGUGAUCCCACAUUUUAAAAUUGUGGAUUGGAACAUUUGUCUUUGAGGGAAAAAAAACAAUAACAACAACUUCUUUUGGAGACCGUGGGGCUCAUAUGCAGAUUCAACCCCGAGCUAUACACUGGAUCUGGUGGGCUAGGUUUGAACCCAAAACAAGCUCUAUUCAUUACACGGUUCAGCGGGUUGGUCCAUUUGACGCUUCUAACUUAACAAUUUAAUCAUAAUAAAUUGAAAAAAUAAAAUAAAACCCACGUAUCUAAAUUAUUGUAUUGAGCUAUUGGUGCAGAGAAUAAGUAUAUAUGAGAACAAAAACAACACGAUGUAGUCGCUCGUUUUGUCACUUCUAAAAUCAGGACUUAGAGCAUCACCAAAAGGCUCUUCAAAUAAGAUUUUAUUACUCAUUUGAAGAGCCACAUCAAUAUUUAAAGCUCCAAAAGACACUCUAAUUAAGAUUCUUCAAAUAAGAAUUGAUUCUCUCUCUUCAAAUUUGGAGAGUUAAUUUCUCCCUCUUCAAUUUAUAUUUUAUUACUUUUCAUUAAAGAAAGAGAGAGAAGUGCUUUAAUUGCUAUUGACUUUUCCUUUUAAAAACUAAUUAUAUGAUUAAAAUAAUAUUAACUUAUUUCUAUUUGAAGAGUCUUUUGGAGAAUAUCAUAUUUUUUCACCCUUCUAUUUGCCACAUAGGUAAGCAAAUAGAUAUUUGAAGAGUAAAAUUUAUAGAGGCUUUUGGAGAUGCUCUUAUGAUAGAGCCAUAGUGUUAACAGUACAUCGGUGUAUAAUUAUUUGUAAUGAAAUUAAUUAAUAUGGGUUUUAUGUUGUCUUUGUCAAUAAUCAAUUAAAUUUUUCGUUUUCAUUUAAAUGUUACUGAUCGAUGAAACAUUUGACUGCGUUCAAGUUAUCUUUUAAUUUUGUGAGAUCCACAUUGUUUUUAUUUCAAAAACAUAAUUUUUCAUAUUAUUAAAAAGCUGUUGCUUGGGCCUAGAGAAAUUGGAUUAAUGAAAUACCUUAAGGGUGUGUUUGACACAUUAUAUUGUAUUAUGUUGCAUUGCAUUAUUUUAUUUGGUGUUGCACUAUACUUUACUAAUUUUUUUGCAAUUAAUUUAAAUUACAUAGUUAGCAAAUAAUAUUUAUUAGUGCUUAGAAAAAUACUAAAUAUAGAAGUCUUAAAUUUUAGAAAUUUAACAAUUUUUUUACUAUAAAUGUUAAAAAAUAUAAUAAUUCUUCAUAAAGAUGGAAGCUUACAGCCUUAAGUUUUUGGAAGCAGAGCAUUUAUUUUUUAGUAUCUUCUAAAUAUAUAAUUUUUGAAAUAAAGAUAUAAGCACAUAAUUUAAUCACAUAGUCUUUAAAUAAUAUAACAACAUAAAUAAAUAGUUAAAAUGUGCAAGAUUAGUUCAAAACUCAUCUUAGGAUGAUAUAAUAAAAGUUUAUACACACCACAAGAUAAUCACAAAAUAAUAAAGUGAUAAAAUUAUUAUAACAUAUUCACUACCAAAAUAAAUUAUAUUAAAUAAUCCAAGUGAGAGUUCUGUAGUUUAUAUAAUAAUAUUAUUUAUGUUAUUAUUAUUAAUUUUAAAUUAAUAUUAUCCAAAUUUAUUCAUACUUAAAUAUGUAUUAUUAGUUAUAUUACAUUAUUUUUACAUAUUAAUUAUUGUAAUAUAAUUAAAUAAUGUAAAAUUAUAUUAUAUUUUUAUAUACUAUUUAAGUAUUUAUUAUUAAUUAUAUUCAAUUAUAAAUUUAUUAAUAAAUUAUAGUGCAAAAAAAAAUAGAAAUAAAAAUUAAUAUUGUAUAAUAAAUAACAUUCUGCUCCCAAUUUCUGGAUUUUAAAUUCCAAAAAUAGUAUUCACGUUCGCCACAUUCAAAAAUCCAACCUGGGCUUGGAGAUUCGAUUCAUCUCAUAGAUUAAUUUUAUAAACUAAUGUUUAGUGAAAAAUUAACCUUAAUGGGUCCUCCUCUCCAGGCCUAAUUCUUAAUUUUUUUUUAAAUUUGGUCCUACUUAAGUGGCUUCUAACGUUACCGUGUCUUUAUUUUGUGUACAGUUGUUUUACUAAUUUGUCAUUUAGUGCAAAUAACAGCACUCAACUUGUAAUAUCCAGUAUCCACAAAUCAGCCACUUCGGCCAAGGCCGAAGUGGUGGGCUGCUGCCCUCACAAUGCUUGUGAGGGCAGCGGUUCUAGCCCCCACAAAAGCAUUGUGGGGGCUAAAUGUUCUUUAUAUUUCCAAAAAAAUCCUUCUCCCUUGCGAAAUGCAAGUGGAGUAUGGACAUCCCUCUCCUGUGAGGGGUUAUUUGUCUGGGCAUGUACUUCAUAGAAUUCAUUGUAAUAAUGUAAGUCUCAAUCAUGUAUAUCUGAUAGAAUUCAUUGUAAUAAUGUAAGUCCCAAUCAUGUAUAUCUGAUUGUAAAUAUCAGUGUAAUAUCUCUGCUACAAUAAGCAGUUGUUGUAAAUAUCUUUCAUUGUAAUAAUGUAAGUCCCAAUCAUGUAUAUCUGAUUGUAAAUAUCAGUGUAAUAUCUCUGCUACAAUAAGCAGUUGUUGUAAAUAUCUUUCAUUGUAAUAAUGUAAGUCCCAAUCAUGUAUAUCUGAUUGUAAAUAUCAGUGUAAUAUCUCUGCUACAAUAAGCAGUUGUUGUAAAUAUCUGUGUAAUGCAGUAAUCUGAUGAUUAAUCAGUAUUAAAAAAAAAAAGUAUCCACAAAUCAUGAACUCAUUUUUUAGUUCUUUCAUGUGUACUAACAUUCGUACAAAUAUACAAUAAGUUCAUAAUUUAGUCCAAGUUGACGAGAAAUUCUUGACCCACCCCUAAAUAUCUGUCCGCCAAUAGCGUGAAGUGGCCGGCAUAAAUUUAAAGCAGCUGGGACAUUGUAACUCAUCCAAAGAUUGUAUAACAUCUCUUUUUUGCUUUAUCGUUUUUCUCCAUUUGCAUAGUUUCUUAUCCUACCGCUUUAAAAACAAUUAUUCCUAGAAAUUUUCAUUUAUCUAAUGAAUUUUAAGAAAUUUUUCAGCAAACAAUUUUUACUUUUUUUUUUUUAUCAUUGAUGGGUAAAGAAAAUAUUAAUGAAAAAUGAGGAGUUAUUGGCUGGUUCAACGGAUUAAUUGCAAUGAUAAAUACAGGGAGGAUUGGAUUAUAUGGCAAAUUUUUAUAGUAAAUGUAAUAUAUAUGCUAACGCUUUUUAUUUAUGGAAAAAUAUCUUCCUCUUUUGAGACUUUUCCCACUAAGAAAAUUGGAGGAUACGACCAAAAAAAAAAAAAUAUAUAUAUAUAUAUACUAAUAUUUAUCAUUUAUAGAAAAGUAUCUAUCCCACUUAAGAUUUGCCCCACUAGAAAAGGAAAAACAAAUCCCUCAAAAUAAAAGAGCGAAAUGGAAACAGAACAAAAUUUGAUUUUGUGGAUCUUGUAUUGUGUGAUAAGUCCGGCAUGCAAUUUUGGGCCAGCGUACCGUGCGCAUGGGAGCAUUCACAAAGUAUCUCUCGUCACUAUCGAAAACUUUUAACAGUCAAUACAAAUGCUUCCGUUUCAUCCCAUAAACAAAUAAAAUUCACAUCUGUACACAUCUACUUUUCUUUGCUAGAUAGAGUUCCUCUGCAUUUCCCAAUUGCCUAAAGAGAAGGGGAAAAGAAAAAGAGGGCCAAAAAAUGCCUGAAAUGGUAAGGAACAAGCAAGUGAUAUUGAAGGACUAUGUGUCUGGUUUCCCAAAAGAAACAGACAUGUACAUGACCGAAAGUUCCAUAGAAUUGAAGGUACCAAAAGGUUCGAAUGGGGUUCUUUUAAAGAACUUGUACUUGUCCUGUGAUCCGUACAUGCGACCAAGAAUGACCUACAUCGGAGGAUCUUACGUUGAAUCCUUUAAACCUGGCUUGGUUAGUGCACUCGCUCAUGGCCACGCUUUUCAUUUCCAUGGCUUCUUGCUCUUUUGUUAUAGAAAAUUUAUUUUUGGUUGCAGUUUGGUUCGACUGCUAAAAUCUCGUGCGAUAACUGUAUAAGAUAUCUAGAGUUUGAACUUCUUUCACAUUAGGGUUCAAGGAAGUUAACUUAAAUGAUUUUCAAAAUUUUAAAUGUGUACCAAUGAGUUUAAUUUCAUAGCUUAAACUUAUAUUUUGAUCAUACUCUAACUUUGGACAGGAAAAUUAUAUUUUUCCUUUUGUUCUUUGACUUGGUGUAUGUUGUGUGAAGUACUUGUGCUUGAAAAUUAAUUGCUGACACAGAAAUUUCUAUGAAUGCAUGCAGCCCAUAAGUGGAUAUGGGGUGGGUAAAGUUUUGGAUUCAGAGAAUCCAGAGUUCAACAAAGGUGACUUGGUUUGGGGAAUGACUGGAUGGGAAGAGUAUAGUCUCAUUACGGCUCCACACUUGUUUAAAAUUCAACACACAGAUGUGCCUCUUUCUUACUAUACUGGAAUCCUCGGUAAACUUUUUGUUUGCGCAAUUUAUGUGAGCAAAUUGUGUCUUGUUUUUCAUUAGUAAAUGUUUUUGAUAUCUCGAUGUGAAGGUAGAAAAUUGCAUGUUUUGAGUUUUUGCAUAUUUGAUGGAAACACAGAACUAUACCUGAAUCUUUCAGACCCCCCUUUUCUUUGAAGUUUGAACACUUUUCUUGAAUGUAUCAACUUUAUUUAUGGGGUAUGUUGCCAAAUUGGCAAAUCUAUUCGUUAUAAAACUUUCCUUUGACAGUUAAUCUAAGCAGAUGUUAAUUCUGCAAAUAGAGUGUGCCUUAGUUUAGAUUGAUAGAUUUGUCUCCUUCUGUACAGUAAAAACUUUGAGCAUUUUCGCCAUAUUCUGAUCAAUACACUCCAACUAGUUAGUUCUUGAGGCGUUUUCUGGUUUCGUGGAGUGAGCCAAGAUGUAUACGUUUGCAAAUUGGCAAUGUCUUUUGCUUGAUGGGUUGUGAGUUGAGAGUGUCAAUAGGAAAGUCUCAAAGUGCACAGUGCUCACUUGAGCACCCAUAUUACUUGGUGACCUGUUACCUCAGCAAACAAGACCUCUGUUUUAUGAACUCCAAAAAGUUAUUCUGUUAAAAAGAUCGAGACAGAGGCCAUACUAUAUUUAUUAUUGCCAUAAAAGUGUGAAACAAUAUUCUUUAUUUAAUAUUCUAAACGAUUGAGCCAUUUAGUUAUGAUACUUUGCUGUACUGGGGCUAAUAAUCUAAGUCGGUUCAAAGUGGUAAAUUUAUAAAUUGAUAGGUAUGCCUGGUAUGACCGCUUACGUUGGUUUUUAUGAGGUCUGCUCUCCUAAGCAUGGAGAGUGUGUCUUCAUAUCAGCAGCAUCUGGUGCAGUUGGUCAGCUUGUGGGGCAGUUUGCAAAGUUAUUGGGCUGCUAUGUCGUCGGAAGUGCUGGAAGCAAAGACAAGGUAGGUUAUCUGUGUGAAGUACUUGAUUGUUUCCAUGUUACUUUCAAACAUUUAAAUUAAAAAGGAAAUUUUCAUAAUCUUGCCUUUUCUAUGAUUUUCAAAACCAAGGUUGAUCUACUGAAGAACAAGUUUGGGUUCGACGAGGCAUUUAACUAUAAAGAAGAAGCUGAUUUGAAUGCAGCAUUGAAAAGGUUAGCAUCAAUAAAUGCCUUAGCUUGAUGCAGCUUGAUGAAGUAUGAUACAUAUUUCUGACCAAUAUACUGCGUUCCCUGAUCUCUUACUUGAAAUAUCUUGGUUUGAGAAUCUCAUGCUAAUGCCUUUAACAUUUUGGCAGGUACUUUCCUGAAGGAAUUGAUAUAUAUUUUGAAAACGUUGGUGGAAAAACUCUUGACGCAGUGCUACCCAACAUGAAAAUCCGUGGUCGAAUUGCUGCAUGCGGUAUGAUCUCACAGUACAAUCUUGACAAGCCUGAAGGUGUGCACAACUUGAUGUAUCUUGUUUCGAAGCGGCUUCGAAUGGAAGGAUUCAUUGUUCUCGAUCACUAUCACCUCUAUCCAAAGUUUCUGGAAAUGAUCAUUCCUCACAUCAAAGAAGGGAAGCUUGUAUACGUUGAAGACAUGGCUGAGGGUCUGGAGAGUGCUCCGGCAGCUCUCAUCGGUCUAUUCUCUGGCCAGAAUGUUGGGAAACAGGUGGUUGCUGUUGCUCCUGAAUGAAGAACAAGUUAGUGUUGUAUGUUCGUUUACCCUUUGACACAAAACUUCAAUGUUAAAGAGAGAAUGCUGCUCAUACUGCUUUAUAAAAUAAUCAAAUGAGUGCAAGUUUCAUGAUAUGUGCUGAAUAAAAAUAUUGGAAAUUAAGCAGCUAGCCUAGCUCCUUGUAGUUGCAGUUUGAAUGAUGCUGCUGCACAACCGCUGCCGAAAAAAUCCUUAAUAGAUGAUUAGCGAGGUUUCAAAAAUAAAAAUAAAUGUUUGUGCAAUGUGCCGAAUAUGACAGCCACAAAGAAAGAGCAUACAAAUUGAUUGGUUUUAUGUCUUCUCUAGGAGAAGGCUACAAUACAAGAAAUUGUAUUGAUGGAGCCAUGGACCAAAUUUCUUAUUUAAACUUUUAAUUUUUUUUAUUAAAUUACUUAUGUUAUUAUGGUUUAUAUUUUUAGAAAUUCUUUAGAAAUUAAUACAGAACUAGUAGCAAGUUGAGAAAUCUACUGAAUGGUCAAGAUAUGAUCAUGUUUAUUGAAUUAAAUUGGCAAUCAUCAUUUUGAUAAAUUAUUAUCGGGAUAUUUGAUUCAUCACAGGUGUAAGUAACUAAAUGUGCUAAAGAAAAAAGUUAAUGAGUUGGACGUGUUUAAUAUUCAUUUGUUGUAAUUCUUUUAAUAAUUAUUAUGGAAAAAAAAGUUAUGGUAAAAAAAUUAUAAUUAUAAAAUAAAAAUUAAUAAUAUAUAAUAAAUAAAUUUUUUAAAUAAUAAAUAUAUUAUGAGUUUUUCAUCGUUAAUUUUUAAGUCAAAAUAAUAAAUAUUUACUAAAUAUUUUAAUACCACAACUAAUACCACAACUUUUGAAUUAUAACAGUACAAUGUAAAUGACAGAGGCCUUAAAAAAUAAAAUUACAGUCAAGUUUUAAAACUGUUAAUGAUAUUCAUAAAGGUGCUCGUCGUGUAAAAACACAUGGGACCCAACCAAUAAAUGCUUAUGAACCUCAACUUUCCUCCUCACUGUCCCUGCAAACAAUUCUGAUUUUCUUGUCUGAGCAAAAAACUGAGAAACAAUGGCGGCCGAACAAGAAGCUGUGAGGAAUAAGCGGGUGAUUCUAAGCAACUAUGUGACAGGUUUUCCAAAAGAAUCAGACAUGAAGAUAACAUGUGGAUCAAUAAAACUGAAGGUAGCAGACGGUUUAAAAGAUACGGUGCUUUUGAAGAAUCUUUAUAUUUCUUGUGAUCCUUACAUGCGAGAGCGUAUGAGCAAGCUUGAUAGACCUUCUUUUGUUGAUUCAUUCCAUCCUGGUGAGGUUAGUUCAUCACGACCCAUCUCUUGAUUUUUUUUUUUUUUUUUCAUUUGCUUCAAGUUUUGAUGAGUUUCUGAGGUCAUUUGUACGGUUUUGGAAUGUGAAUACAAUUGGUGAUUUUGGUGCUGUAACUGUCAUUAAUGAUAUGUAGUAAUUCAAUCAGAAUUUGGAUUUAGUGCUGGUAUGAUCUCUGCUCAUUUUUUAAAAUCUUGUGUCCACAUGCAUUUUUAUAAUCUUGUACGGUUGAGAUUGUAUGUAGAUUAAUCUACGUACAGUAUUCUUGUCUAAUGACUAGUAACCACAACCUUAUGAGACGAUCGAAACCAAGCUCAGAUCAAUAAUCCAAUCGAGAGAGGAUCAUAACUCAAGCUUAUCGUGUGUGGGAAUAUUUCGGUUAAAUUGUAAUCAUGAUCAUGAAUCAUGCAGGGAAAAGGGAAGUUGAGGUCAAUUUAUGCACUUGAUGGAAUUAAAGAACCAAUAUUUGAUUUUGGUUUACAUUAUUUCUCAGUAAUGGUGACUUUGUGAUGUUAAAUUUAUGCAGCCUAUAAACGGAUAUGGGGUGGCCAAAGUUUUGGAUUCUACACAUCCAAAUUAUGCAAAAGAUGACUUGGUUUGUGGCUUUAUGGGGUGGGAGGAGUACAGUGUCGUUACAGCUCCGCAGCUUUUGAUUAAAAUUCAGCAUACAGAUGUGCCACUUUCAUACUAUACUGGGAUCCUUGGUAAUGAUUUUUGCUACACAAUAAGAUUUGCUUGUAGUAAUAUCAAUACAUAUGCUGCUUAAUGCUUUCUGAUUUUUUGCCGGCGAUUGUCCAUUUUGCCCUGGAGUCUAUAAUUGAGGGAAUUUACUGAAGGAAUGUGAUUGUUGGGAAUUUGAUUAUUCUAGGUAUGCCUGGUGUGACGGCAUACGCUGGUUUAUACGAAGUUUGCUCUCCGAAGAAAGGAGAAUAUGUAUAUGCAUCUGCAGCAUCUGGAGCUGUUGGUCAGCCUGUUGGCCAGUUUGCAAAACUAGCUGGUUGCUAUGUUGUUGGAAGUGCUGGAAGCAAAGAAAAGGUGCUGUUAUAACAUUUUCAAGUUGUAAAUAAUUUAAUUUCAAAAUUGUCUGAGUUGUACAUGCUUUUUGUUCUAACCAAGCAUCAAAAUUUUGAUCGUGAUAAUUAGCAAGUUCAAUAAUUUUUUUGAAUAUCUUUUCAAUGUAAGGUCGAUUUGUUGAAGAACAAGUUUGGAUUCAAUGAUGCUUUUAACUACAAGGAAGAGCCAGACUUGGAUGCUGCUCUCAAAAGGUCAGCUGCGACAAAUGCUUCAACUAUAAUUUUUCACUUUAAUAUAUAUUACAGAGCUUUGGUAAUUUGGUUGAAGUGCGUGAGUCGAUCCCGAAAUUGUAACUUCACCAGUGUUCUCUGUUUUAAAGAAACAGGAAGUAUUAGAAAUCUGAUUUUUCUUUUAUGGAUAAGCUGAGAAUAAGUGACUGAAUCCAUUGUCUGGUUAAAAAUGUUUACAUGUGUUAAUAUGAACUAUCCUUGUUUAGUAAUUGGAUAGUUUGAUAACUUUGUGGAGCAUUUGUGUACGAAGUGUCAAAUAAUUUUGAUUGAAAUAAGAACUUAGUGGAUGCAUUCAAUGAUUUUUUUUCCUUUUUUUCUCUCUCCCCAAGAUAUUGAGAGAAUGAUUGUAACAUUUGAGGGAUAAGAUCAAAGUGUCUUUGAGGACACCUCAUUGAUUGAUGAAGAACAAAUUACAGCCGUUAGAUUAUAGUAAAAUUAAAGACAUGAAUAGUAUACAUUUUUUGUGUGAAAAAGUAAGAAGAGACAUUCCUUUGUAGUUUGUACAAAAUUGACUUAAUGCUGAAUGCAAAGUUAACUUAAUAAUUUGUCUUUAAACUAUUAUUAUUAUUGUUUAAUCAACAUUGACUUUGUGGCACCAUCCACCAUCUGCAAUUGAAUAUCAUUAUUGUUUAAUCAACAUGGUGGAGUCCACUGGAACCACACCACAUGGUCAGUCUUAUCUCUAUUCCUCAAUUUUCAAUAUUCCAUACAUCCAACCAAUUUCAGGUUUGUUAGCAAUUAUAAGUUCAUUGUUGGUGACGAUUCUGAUUCCUUUCUUUCUCAUAAAACGGAACCAUGGUUGCUUUUGGAGAGAUCUUACUCAACGCCUUCUUUCAGGUGUUGUUUGAUAGGUUGGCUUCUGGUAAUUUUCUCAGCUUUGUGCGUCAACUCCAAGGCGGGGUUGAUUGGGAACUCAAAAAGUGGGAGAAAAAGCUGAAGAUGAUUCAGGCUGUGCUCUGCGAUGCAGAGGAGAAGCAACUGAUCGACGAGGCUGUGCAGAUGUGGCUGGACGAACUCCAAGACUUGGUUUAUGACGCUGAGGACAUUCUUGAUGAGUUUGCUACUCAAGCUUUGGAAAGCGAGUUGAUGGCGCAAAAUCAGGAUAGCUCUGGCCAGCUUCUCAGUUUCAUCCCAGCUAGUUUGAAUCCGAAUGCUAUUAUGUUCAAUUAUAGCAUGGGGUCCAAGAUUAAAGAUAUUACUAGCCGGUUGGAGCACCUUGGCCAAGAAAGAAUUGAACUUGGUCUGCAACGGAUUACUGGAGGGGCAUCAUCAUCUACUGCUGCUGCACACCAGAGGCCACCCAGUUCAAGUGUCCCAACAGAGCGUGAAGUAUUUGGAAGAGAAGAAGAUAAGGCCAAAAUUCUUGAUAUGGUAGUGACCGAUACCCCCAGUGAUCAUGCCAACUUUGUUGUAAUACCCAUUGUUGGCAUGGGCGGGAUAGGAAAAACAACUCUUGCUCGGGAGGUCUACAAUGACAAGGCCGUUGAAGAUUCCAAGUUUGAUGUAAAAGCAUGGGUUUGUGUCUCUGAUGUCUUUGAUGUUUUGGGCAUCUCAAAGGCACUUCUUGAGUCAAUCACCCGCAGGCCUUGUCUUCUGAACAGUUUAAAUGAAGUGCAGGUUGAGUUGAAAGUAGCUGUGGAUAAAAAAAGAUUCUUGCUGGUCUUAGAUGAUGUUUGGAACGAGGACUACAGCUUGUGGGUAGACUUAAAAGCUCCAUUCUUGGCAGCUGCACCAAACAGUAAGAUGAUUGUCACCACACGCAAUUCAAAUGUUGCAUCAAUAAUGGGACCAAUUGAACAUUAUAAUCUCAAGAGACUGUUAGAUGAUGAUUGCUGGUCCAUUUUCAUACAGCAUGCACUUGAAUCUAGAGAUCUUAACGCACAUCAAAUUUCAGAAUCAUUCCGCAAGAAAGUUGUUGGCAAGUGUGGAGGCUUGCCCCUGGCAGCAAAAACACUAGGGGGCCUUCUGCGUACUACGAGGCAUGAUGCAUGGGACGAUAUAUUAGAUAGCAAAAUAUGGGAUUUACCUCAACAAAGUCGCGUUCUCCCUGUGUUAAGAUUGAGUUACCACCAUCUUCCGUCUCAUUUGAAAAGAUGUUUCGCUUAUUGUGCAAUCUUUCCAAAAGAUUAUGAAUUCAAUGAGAAGGAGCUGACUUUCUUAUGGAUGGCUGGAGGAAUUAUUCGACAGUCAAGAAAGAAUGAGCAGCUGAAAGAUUUGGGCGGCAAGUGCUUUCAUGAUCUAGUGUCAAGGUCAAUUUUUCAACAAACCAGCUCGGGCAGUUCUAAAUUUGUAAUGCACGACCUUAUCCAUGAUCUUGCUGAACUGGUUUCUAGAGAAACCAUUUUCAGAUUAGAGGAGGCCAACUUGUCAUCAAGAAGAUUUGAAAGGAUCCGCCAUUUUUCCUAUACCCGUGGUCGGUAUGAUGGUAAAAAUAAGUUCAAGGUUUUCAAUGAAAUUGAACAUCUACGAACAUUCCUACCAUUACACGAAAGACGUGGCUAUUACAUAACUCGAACGGUUCUAUCUGAUUUGCUGCCAAAGUUCAGAAGGUUGAGAAUGCUAUCUUUACAAGGAUACUGUAUUGGUGAGUUACCAAUGUCAUUGAAGAUCUGAGACUUUUAAGGCUCCUCAACCUUGCUGACACUGACAUAAGAAGUUUACCUGAGUCAACAUGCACAUUGUUGAACUUGGAAAUUUUGAUAUUAAGAAAUUGUUCCCGUUUGAUAAAGCUUUCGUCCAAAAUGAGGAAUUUGAUCAAUUUACGCCAUCUUGAUAUAAGAGGUGCGAAGUUGCUGAAGGAGAUGCCAUCCGGAAUGAAGGAGUUGAAGAAUCUUCAAACGUUGUCCAAUUUUAUUGUGGGCAAGGGUGAAACUGCAUCCGGUUUGGAAGAUUUAAAAUGUUUAAACUUUCUUUGUGAUGAACUAUGCAUGAGUGGAUUAGAGAAUGUGAAUAAUCCACAGAAUGCAAGAGAAGCUGCAUUAUGUGAGAAGCACAAUCUUGAAGCAUUGACUCUAGAUUGGGGGUCUCAAUUUGACAGUUCUCGAGAUGGAGUAGUAGAAGAGCAUGUACUGCAAAUUCUACAGCCUCAUAAAUGUAUAAAAAAGGUGGCAAUCAAGAACUAUGAUGGUGUAAGAUUUCCACUUUGGAUCGGAGAUCCUUCGUUCUCCAAGAUGAAGGUCCUUAAAUUGGAGAACUGUCACAAUUGUGUAUCUUUGCCGUCGCUUGGCCUGUUGAGUUCACUUAAGCACCUUGCUGUUAAAGGGCUGAAGAAACUAAAAAGCAUAGGGUCUGAGGUUUAUGGGGAGGGUUUCUCAAUGCCUUUUCCAUCACUGGAGAUUCUAAGUUUCGAGAAUUUCCCAGAAUGGGAGCAUUGGGACACCGAGAUCAAAGGAAAUGUGCCUGUUGAUAUAUUUCCUCGUCUCCAAGAACUUUCCAUUGCAGAAUGUCCCAAACUCUCUGGACAACUGCCUGAGCUCCUGCCUUCCUUGGAGACACUUGUUGUUAGUAAAUGUGAAAAGUUGGUAGUUCCAUUGUCUUGCUAUCCGAUGCUCUGCAGAUUAGAAGUUGAUGAGUGCAAAGAACUAGUCUGCCGGACUCCGAUUGAUGUUAAGUUGAUAAAGUCCAUGACUAUUUCAAAUAGUUCAUUAGACCUGAAUGGAUGCAAGGGGAUGCUAUACGAUGGUCCAGCUGGCUCUUCACUGCCAAAGCCCAUGACUACUACAAAUGUUUUGGAGUUUGGAAAAUUAUUGAAGCCUGGAUUUCAGAUAUUCGAAACUUUGGUAAUUGGCAAUUCUGAACAGCUCAAGUCAUGGAGGCAGCAUGGGGAUUUUCCUAAAAAAUACAUGGUCACUGACCAUAGGUUUAAAAAACCAGUACCAGGGCUGAAUAUACUCGCUUCCCCUGAAGAGGUAAAAAUUGAAGAAAGCUGCGUAAGUCUUGUUAUGUUUCCAGAGAUCAAUUUUUUUCCCAGAAAUCUGCGCUCUCUUCUAAUUAAAAACAGCACAACUUUAAAAUCCUUACCCGAGGAAGUGAUGGACAACAAUUCACAACUCGAAAGGUUGUAUAUCAGAGAUCGCGACUGUCUAACAUUCAUCGCAAGACGGAGGCUACCGGCAUCUCUUAAAAGGCUCGAGAUAGAAAAUUGUGAGAAAUUGCAACAUCUGUUCGAUGAUGAAGAGGAUGCUUCUUCUUCUUCUUCUCCUGCAUCCUCGUCGUCCCCAGUGAUGCUGCAACACCUGAGUAUAGAGAACUGCCCAGAGCUCACCAGUUUAUCAUCGGGUGUCCAAUUCCUUGAGGCGCUUGAAGACCUCGAGAUACGGGAUUGUCGAAAGCUGGAGUCAUUACCGGAUGGCCUGCACAAUCUUAACUGUUUACAGAAGAUUAGUCUAGUGAGUUGUCCAAGUCUUGUUUCCUUCCCAGAAAGAGGGCUUCCCCACACCAUUUCACAGGUUGACAUUUUUUAUUGUGAAAAGCUUGAAGCCCUGCCCAAUGACAUGCACAAACUCAACUCUCUUCGAGAUUUAAGCAUAUUGGGGUGUCGAAAUCUUGUAUCGUUUCCAGAAGAAGGUUUUCCUACCAGUCUAACAUCACUUAGAAUUGGAGAUUUCAAAAUGUAUAAGAUACUCGUCCAGUGGGGGUUGCACAGGUUUACCUCUCUUAGACGCCUCUAUAUCGUUGAUUGUGAUGGCGAAGCAGAGUAUUUUCCAGACGAGGAGAUAGGAAUGACGCUGCCCACCUCUCUCACUCAACUGGAACUUUCGGGAUUCAAAAAAUUGAUAUCUCUGUCUUCGACGGGUUUUCAGAGCCUCACCUCUCUUCAAUCUUUGUGGAUCUUCUAUUGCCCAAAUCUCACAUCAUUUCCAGAGGUGGGCCUUCCAUCCUCACUUUUGGGACUAUACAUUUUCAAAUGUCCAAAGCUUAAAAGAGCGUGCAAAAGAUAUCAAGGAAAAGAGUGGCCCAAAAUUGCUCACAUCCCUUGCGUUGAGAUAGACGAAAAAUUCAUAUACGAUCCGGAAUCAGAGGAGUAGAUUUCUGUUAUCCACUAUAACGAUCUCCUAUUAGUUUUAUUUUUUAAAUAAUAAUUUUUCAGUUCUGUUUUCUGUAUAAUUAUAAAUCCUCUGUCGUUAAUUAUUGACAAUGUCACUCACGUGAUUCCGUUUUCACUAAUGAGACUGUAUGUUGAGGCUGUUUGCUUUUUAAUCACAGAUUAAAUUAUAUGGUGUAAGGAAAUCAAAAGAAAAUUAUGCAUAGUCAAAUUCUGAUAUUUGCUAUAUAUUAUACAUUCGAAAGUUUCUCCAGUUUGUUCUCAGAUUACCAUCAUUUUUUGCCUUCACCUAAAAAUAUAUAUAUAUAUAUUUGAGUGGCUUUCCGGUGGAUAUUUAAUCGGAGGCAUGACUGGAUUUUUUUUCACUUCUGUAGAUCUUGCAUUUUAAACUGGCAAAUUUAACUUUAAUUUUAAUACGACUUUGUUGGUGCCUUCUAUUCCAGGAGCUAGAAAGAUGUGUAGUUUUCAGAUAAAGGGGCUUGUGAAUUCUCUAGUAAGAAUCCAAUAAUUUGCUUUUGCACGUUCAUUUUAUUUGUAGAUCCUUGCAUCUGAAUUUGAUCAAUCCAAAAGGAAUUGCUUUUGGACGGAAAAGAAUAGCAGUACCUAUUCGAUGACAUAGUGUAUGGACCCUCACAUGUUAACUUUCAUGAAGAACACAUUUAAGAAAUUUGCAACUUUUUGGUUAGUUAUGUAUCCAAUGUUGUUUUCUGUUUUAGCAUUUGUAGAAUCUACUGUAUUAUAUUUUGGCAGUUACAGUAUCUGAGGUAUCUUUUGCAUUUAACUUGCUUUAUAUGUUUUGCCUGUGACUUAAGAACACCAAUAUUUGCCAGAGAUUUAGAGAAGCAUAUCAAGAUGCUUGGCUAACUUGACAAACUUCAGGAUCCUUCAUUCUUCACAAUGCAAAACUUGUGAGUACUCUUAUGCCUGCAAUUAUUGUGAAAUGCUUGCAAUUUUGAUGCAGCGAAAUGGUUUGUUGAUGCAAAGGUUUAAACUUCUAAGAUUUACCCUGCAGGGUAGUUGGAUGUUGUAUACUCGAAAAGCCACCAACAUCAAGAACUAUACCUCCAAGAUCGGGUUUGCAUUAAUUCAAUCAGCUGAAAUAAUGAUGCAAAUGACACUAUCAGCUGGACUUAGAGACCAGUCAGAUCAAUCAUCCAUUUUAUCAACAGUUAAUGUCAUCAUGGUGGCUAUUAGAGGAAACAAAGGAUGUGUCGGAAUCAAUAUGAACAGUGAGAAGAAUGAGAGGAGCUUUGAUUAUAAGUAGGCUCAAUGAACUCAUGCUGGUAAGUGGUAAUUAAAGAAAUUUGUGCGCUUAGCAGAGUUUCAAUAUUUUCUGUUUGGGAUAUAGUUGAUAAGUUGAUACUCUGAUUAAUAAGCCUGAUUAUAGUAGCUGACUCUAUUAACCAGGUUCUUUUCUUUCUUCUUUUUUGGUGGUUUGCUGUUGUUUUGAUUAUGCUGUAACUACAAGGAAGAGCCGGACUUGGAUGCAGGCGUUCAGCUUUUAAUGGUUAAGAACAAAUGUAUGCUUUAACCAUGUCUCUCACUUAUUACAAUGCACGCAUUGAAGGCAUCUGAGCUGAUCCUGAAAAUGUCAUGGAAAUACUUCUCUGUUUACAUAAAACAGGACAAAUAGAGAUCUCUGAUCAUGCCUGAGAAUUCGUUUCAUUGAAAUUUCUACCAUUGCCAAAAAUAGAAUAAACUAGGGAUACAUUAGCGUAAGACUCAAUUUUGAGAAGGAAGUUUGUACUUGCGGCCUAAAAAAUCAUGUCUGUGUUGUAUACUUGUAUGUUUCUUUGGUAAAUGAAAGAUUCUGUGUUCUUUUAUUUCAAGUUUGCUGAAAUCACAUUUGUUUUCUUAGAUGCUUUCCAGAAGGUAACAACAUCAAUUUCAAAAAUGCUGGGGUAAGAUGCAUCACGCAGUGCUACUCAACAUGAGAAAUCCUGGCUGCAUUAACUGUAUGUUGAGUGAUCGCACAGUACAACCUUCAGAAGCUUGUAAGGAGUAGACAACUAGAUGCGAGUAGUUUCAAUAUGGAUUCGCAUCAAAUGAUUUCUUGCCACUGAUUACUAUAACCUCUAUCCCAAAAUUCUUGGAACUGGUCAUACCAGCUAUGAAGUAUUGUAUGCGUUGAAGAGCUCAAGGCCUUGCAAAAGCUCCGUCAGCCUUUGUAUUGGCAAACAGAUGGUUGUAGUUGCAUCUGAAUGAUAUGAUUAAUAGAUUCUGUAAAAAUGAAUUGUGCCAUACGCUUUCAGAGUUCUGUUAAGAUGUCUUGGUAGUUUUUUAUGCUUGUUUGAUUUAUAUUGCAUUCAGCUAUAAAUCAAAGGUUCAGAACACGAGUAUGUUACUGAUUUCCAAAUAGAAAAAUUGCCUUGUGAUGUUAGUGUCCAUUGUUUUCACAGGAGAUCAGGUUCCUUGUUAAUGAAUCAAGAAGGCAAACGCAUCCAUGUCUGAGUUCAAAUGUGUCUCUUCUAUUUUCUAUUACUGACUCAUUUAUUUUGAUUUCUUCAUUGUGAUUGAACUGGUUUUUUAUUCCAAAUUAGUCAAAACCUCAUAGAGUUAUUAAGUUCUGUUAGCAUUUAAAGACAGAACUACGUAACAAAUGAUUAGCAGGAUUAAAUUACAAUAAAGAAUUAAGUUCUUCAUUGUAAUUGAAUUUGCUUUCCCAUGUUUAUAGAUAUUAUGUUCUGGUUAGUGGUGAUUUCUUGAAGAGUCAAUCCAUUUGUGUUUAUACAUUUUUCUUUUGCCUUGAUUUCUGUUUUUUGGGGAGUUUAUACAGAUUCUUAUUUUAUGCUUCACAUGCCACAUGAAAGAUCAAAGCCUUUUGUCUGAAUAGAAUUGACUUGCAUUGUAGUAACUUUAAACUACUGUGACAUUUUCAUAAUAACAGUCUGAGAUCUCCCUGAAAGAUUCAAAGCAUUUUAUUUUAUAUUAAACUCCUCUACGUGGUUUGGCGGCUCUCCUUUAAAUCAAUUUCGGUUUUAAGUUAUCAACAUUUUGAUUUGAAAGUGUGUUUCAACACUACCACAAGUUCUUUAAAAACUAAAACAAUUUUGAGUCUCCUGUAUCAUCUGAUUGAAAUACAUGAAAGCACUCUUGGCUGUAAAAAUACAGUUGGGUUUAUUUCUAAAGUCUUCAACAACAUUUUCCUUUUUCCCUUUAUCCUCAUGGUUGUUUUUUCAGUUGUUCUUUAAGAGAACACUUAAAGAUUCUCUUUAUAGACUUCUGAAAAUAAUUUCAGCUUAAGCAUUUUUCAAAAGCACUUUAGAUGUCUGGCGUUUAGAAAAUUUUAUUCUGGUGUCACAUAAUAUACGUAGGAAGUUAAAUUUAUUUAUUUAUAAGCAUGUCCCAAUGCCCAGUGGCAUCCUCUUAACUUGUGAUAGUCAGAUGUAUUAUACGAUACAAUAUCAGCUUGACUGUAGCAUAGAGGAGAAUAGGGUUGGUGUUGGACUGAAUUCUGAUCCUUGAAUAAAUAUAACAGCUGCCUGAACCAGCUUAUUUGACUCCACAACUUUAUACUUGUUUUAUAGUCUAUGCCUACCUCCAUCGUCGGCAGCUUACACAGUCUCUUUUAGCAUUUUAAAAAGUUUCAUGAUAUUCCCAUGGACUGCUACAAUUUAUAGAAAACAUAAUUACGGCAUAUUUAAUUACCACGCGAGGAGUCUUCUUUUUUGCGCACCAAUAAUUCUUUGUACUUAAUUAGAAGAUGAGAAAUCCUUUAGCCGAACCACGAACUCACCUAUUAGUGGGUUUUUUUCCACUUGCAUUCAGUCGUUCAAGUGAAAAUUGCGUGCAAUUUUUUCCUCAAGUAAAAUUGGAAUAGAUAUUGUUGAUUCGAGAUUCUGGUUACGCCCUUCCAACGACCAGGAUGUCUGUUCGAUCAACCUCAUCUCGAUCAGGAUCUCUCCUCGUACGCUUUCUUCUCUAAGUAUCCCUGCGUCCACAGAAACAAGUCAGAGCACGCCGGUUGGUUUCCCGGCGUAAACCCUCCGACGCUCAAGUCAGAUAUGAAGGCUCUGGGAACGCUCGCCACAAAUCUUAUGGCUUUUUGGUCGUUUUCCCUUUUUUAGAAUUUCCUUUAUCUCUGUUCUAAUCUCAAAAUUGCUAACCCUUUUACCUUCGUUGGCUACCUUUUUAUAGGUCACUUUUGAACUCGGGCCUCCCCUCCAUUUGCGCUCAUUACCCUCCCACCUCUCAAAAGUGGAUUCCCCUUUUCCGUAGUCGUGGGUGGUUGCGUGGCCCUCGUGCCUAGAUUCUCGGACUGGAAAGCAUGCCUUGCCAACUGUCGUUGACCGGGUCUCCUCGACUCAGCCCUUAGCAGGAAUACAACAGGAAUGGCUUUAUGCUUCUUACAGGAGAUUGGCCUCGCGGAUGACGUGCUCGUGGGUGAGCAGGGUAUUCCUGCUCCUGCUCCUCCGGAUACCAGGCUCUUACGGGACACACCGGUUCGCAGAGCUCUGCCAUCAGAUAUCUGCUCAUCAUGCUUGGUCUCGUCGACGUAUUUCUCCCAAACACCGGUCCCCCAGUUUCUGGUGUUGGGUAAUGUAGUGGACCAGCAGUAGAAACUCGACAGUACUUACUCGCGUGGGAUUGGAAAAGGCUGCCAAGAGUCGUGUCGCAUUUAAUUGCGGAUGAGGUGAUGUGGCAGAGAUCCACCCCUAUAUUUGAAUUUCAAACCGACGGUUACGAGACCCUCGGGAUUUGGUGCUGUUAAAUGCUGGCUAUCCAAGGGUUUUUCUUCCAAUAAGGUAACCCAAAACCUCUCUAAGGGAAAUUAGCCAUUUCCACUGUCUCUGUCCCUGUCUCUCCGGCGAAGAAGUUUCGGCAUAAAAGCCCCCAUCCUUGCCUUUCUCCGACUGAAACAGUACUUCAGGUAUUACUUCUUUCUCCUCGGUCUCGGAUAGUUUGUAGAUAACUUCUUUUUUCUUUGUUUUGCUUGGGGUAGUAGUUGUUGGUGGUGUUUUGGUUAUUACCUAGGGAAUGUCGAAGGGUAAGGAGAAAGUCGUUGAGAUUGAUGACGACGAACUAGGUUUCUUGCUUGGUCUGCUCAUUGAUCCUGCUUUUGACCCCGGGGUCCCCUUAGAACCCAUUAGGUUUAGUGUCGGGACUAGUGCUAGGAGGAUGUCCCCCCAAACAACCUCCAUGAGCGGAAGCAAUGGUGAGGAGAGACCUUCUGGCUCUGAGGACACCUUAAGUGAGAAUGGGGAAGGUGACUCUGGUGAGGUGUCUCCAUCUGGAACAUCACGACCAGAAGAACGGGGUACAGUAGGAGGUAGAGCCUUGUUGCGUGAUUAUGCCAUUGAUUACAUGACGUGCACGACCAUGUUUGACGAGCUCAAUGACCUCCGGCUUAGGUAUAGCAUUCCUGGUGAGAUACCUCUCAAGGUCCCAGGAAAGAAGGAUGCUCCCAGCCGGCCUCCUCGGGGAUACGUUACCCUGUUUCUAGAGAGCUUUAAGUAUGGGCUGAGGUGUCCUUUGCAACCCUACUUUGCCCGGAUACUUAACGGACUAAAUUUACCUCCUGGUCAGCUGAAUCCCAAUGGGUGGAGAGUGCUCUCUGGUCUGUUCAUAUUGUGGGACAGAUGUUGCCAAAGCGAGCCCACGGUUGAUGAGGUGAAGCACCUGUACCAGCUAAAGAGCAGCCCCAAAUAUGCCGGCUGGUACUACUUCCAAUCUAGUACCAAGAGCAGGAAACCCAUAACGGAUCUUCCAACUGGUGGUGGUGGGACUUGGAAGAGGAAAUUCUUUUUUGCUGGGGGUCCUUGGGGUCAAGUUGCACGAAUAGAUGGGAAGGAUUGUCGUGUCCCACCCCGUUUCACGGUCCCAGGUUGCCUGCUCGCUUUAGAUGUCUUGUAUCCAUAACUGUUCUUGCUUUAUUGGCUUGUCUCUAACCAAGUGCCUGUUUGUGUUGUAGUUUCUUGGGGUGUUCAUUUCCCGCUCCAACCUAACCAGUUCAAACAGGUCGAGGCUGUACUAGCCAAUUCCUGCUCGAGCCGCGAACUGCUAACUACUUACAACUUGCUCGAGUCUCGCUUGAUACUUCCUGGCCAUAAGAUGGAGGACGCCGUGAUUGGGGCUCUGAACAGGAAACGUUCUCGACCUCAAACCACGAAGAGGGACCAGAACAAGGACGCCCCUUCUGCAAAGCGGGCCAACAUCGUGCAGCAAGUCUCUCCCUUAAAGACUUUACCUCCUGCUCCCGCCAAAAUUGGGGAAACUAGUGGAGCAGCCACGGAUCCUGCUUCCUCUUCUCCUCUUGUCGGGCCUCGAUCUCGCUUACCUGACAACCGAGCAGAACACUUGGUCCCCUACCUCAAUGAGUUAUCUAAACUCGUGAGCAAGAAGGACCUGGAGGACUUUGACGGCUGCACCUUGGGUGAACUGGUGGGGGCCAUGCAGUAUAGCGCUUUCCACCUCAGCUGCAUGACCACUUAUUACAAGGCUAAGGUUGGCCGCUACGACCGGAAGAUGAAGGAGGAUAUUCAAUCGGCGACGACCAGAGCUGACUUUGCCGAGAAGAAAGCAGGGGAGCUAAAUCUCGAGAAUCUGAAGCUGACAGAGCAAGAAUCACUUGCUUAAGCAAAAGCCGUUACCCUCGAGGAGGAGCUGACCAAGGUCAAGGAGGAUCUGCAAAGGCAGAAGGCUAUGUAUGAGGCUCAGCUCGAAUCUCUCCGCGACUCCUACCGAGCUCAGGUCGAGAACUUGGAGAGGGAGGCCGACAACCAGUACGACCAGGGACUUCGGCAUUCCUAUCGUUGCAUCAUGGCCGUCCUCGGGAAGCAACACCCUGAUCUGAAGAUGGAUGACCUUGCAGCUGGUGUUGCUCAACAUAUGGACGAGGAGGCGGCCAAGGAAGAUGCUAAAGGGGUAGAGCCGAUCGUGAUUGAGGAGGAAAACUCUCCUCCUCGUGCAGUCCCUGCUGAUGUUGGCGAGGCGAGCACCCCCCGGACGCAACUGGUGAUACCCCCCCUGCACCUGAGGAGGUCCAGCCAACCGAUGCUGCUCGGCUUACUGAUCCACCAUCUUCUUGAUAUAUUUCUUGUAUUGUAAUGAACAAUGUUUGUGAAGAUUAUCUCCUCUGUUAAUUAUUAACAAAUUAAUAAAAAUGUUUUUGAUUACUUUCUUGUGUUGUAAUUUUUCGUUUGAGAAUCUGCUCGUCUUUGUCUGGUCGACCAGGUUCUGGCUUGGUACAUGGUUUUGCCACAUGCCUUUGAAAAUUUUUCAAUGCUUGGGAUUCUGCUCGCCUUCUCGUGGUCGAGCAGAUCCUGGCACGCUUGGUUUCUGUCUCGCCAUAAACAGGCUUUGAGACUUGGUGAGCCUUUGCAUGCUUUGGAAAUUUUUCGAUGCUUGGGGAUUCUGCUCGCCUUCGCGUGGUCGAGCAGAUCCUGGCACGCUUGGCUUCUGUCUCGCCAUAAACAGACUUUGAGACUUGGUGAGCCUUUGCAUGCCUUAGAAAUUUUUCGAUGCUUGGGGAUUCUGCUCGCCUUCGCGUGGUCGAGUAGAUCCUGGCACGCUUGGCUUCUGUCUCGCCAUAAACAGGCUUUGAGACUUGGUGAGCCUUUGCAUGUCUUAGAAAUUUUUCGAUGCUUAGGGAUUCUGCUCGCUUUCGCGUGGUCGAGCAGAUCCUGGCACGCUUGGCUUCUGUCUCGCCAUAAACAGGCUUUGAGACUUGGUGAGCCUUUGCAUGCCUUCGAAAUUUUUCGAUGCUUAGGGAUUCUGCUCGCCUUCGCGUGGUCGAGCAGAUCCUGGCACGCUUGGCUUCUGUCUCGCCAUAAACAGGCUUUGAGACUUGGUGAGCCUUUGCAUGCCUUCGAAAUUUUUCGAUACUUGGGGAUUCUGCUCGCCUUCGCGUGGUCGAGCAGAUCCUGGCACGCUUGGCUUCUGUCUCGCCAUAAACAGGCUUUGAGACUUGGUGAGCCUUUGCAUGCCUUAGAAAUUUUCACAAUUUCAAGUGAAUGAAAUUUCUCGACGUUCCAUUAAUUGCAGGAUUCAACUUACAUGAAAUUGUUUGGUCAUAAAAUAAAUAACAGCCAAUACGAACAAAAAGAACUUGAAAAUAUUAACAACUCUUACUGGAAAUAUUUCCUGAGAUGUGCUGUGUUCCAUGGGCGCUUCACCUCGUGGCCAUCCAUGCGAACCAGCUUGUAAGCUCCUGGUCCAACUAGCUGCUUGACUCUAUAUGGCCCCUCCCAAUUCGGACCGAGCACUCUUUGAGUCGAGUCUUUGGUGUUUUGAUUCACUCUCCUUAACAUCCAAUCUCCGACCUUGAACUGCCGUAUGUUCACCUUCUGGUUAUAAUACCGGGCAACCCUCUGCUGGUAAAUAACUGAUCGCUCGGCUGCUUGCUGCCUCUUUUCCGUUAGCAGAUCAAGAUUCAAACAUAUCUGCUCGUCGUUCUCCUGCUCAUUGAAAUGGUUUGUCCGGUGUGUGGUCGUUCCUAUUUCAGCUGGCACGACCGCUUCAAGUCCGAAAGCCAAGGCGAACGGUGUCUCUCCAGUUGCUAUUUUGUGGGUUGUUCUGUAUGCCCAUAGCACACCUGACAGCUCAUCAACCCAUGCACCCUUUUUUGCUCCAAGCCUGGUUUUCAAAAGCCUCUUAAUGGUCUUGUUGGAUGCUUCUACUUGUCCAUUCGAUUGAGGGUGAGCAGGCGAGCAAUACUUCAGCUCUAUCCCGAGGUUCUGGCAGAAAUCCCUGAAGCUGUGAUUAUCGAACUGCCUGCCAUUAUCCGUUACCAAGGCAUAAGGGAUCCCGUAUCGACAGACCAGGUUUCUCCACACAAAGUCCGUCGUUUUCUUCUCUAUAAUCCUGCUAAGGGCUUCGACCUCUAUCCACUUCGUGAAGUAAUCUAUAGCAACUAUUGCAUGCGUUGCUGCUCCUCGUCCCUUUGGCAGCGGGCCGAUCAGAUCAAUUCCCCAUUGAGCAAAUGGCCAAGGGGAGGCCAUAGAGGUGAGCUUCUCUGGUGGUUGGUUGGGGAAUCUUGCAAAACUCUAGCAGCUUACACAUCUCCUUGUCUUCUCCUGUGCAUCCUGGUGCAUUGUCGGCCAGAAAUAUCCCUGCCUUAGAACCUUGUGGGCCAGGGAUCUUCCACCAGAAUGAUUCCCGCAAAUUCCUUCAUGUACUUCUCUCAGUACAUAAUCUGCAUCGUCCUCAUCCAAACAUCGAAGGAAAGGUAGUGUAUAUCCUCGCCGAUACAGCACCCCAUCAAUCAUCGUGUAUCUCGAGGCCUGGGCUCUAAUCUUCCGAGCUCGCAGCUUAUUUGGUGGUAAUACCCUGUCUCUAAGGUAUGAAACUAUCGGGUCCAUCCACGAGCAUUUUUGUUCUAUCCGCAGCACCUUUAAAUUCUGCUCAAUGCUCGGGCUGGACUUCACCUUCAGAGGGAUCGACUUUGGCAUUUUUGGGUCUGCUACCGCUGCCAUCCUGGCCAAAAUAUCUGCUCGGCUAUUCUGCUCCCUCGGGAUUUGUACCACCUCCACCGCUUCGAAUUUCCCCAUCAUCUGCCUGACUAUCUUCAGGUACUGCUCCAUCUUCUCCUCUCUCGGUUGGAAUCUUUCACUGACAUGAUUCGCAACCAGCUGGGAAUCAGUUCUGAUCUUCACUCUAUCUGCUCUCACGGCCUUAGCCAGUUCCAAACCUGCUAUCAAGGCUUCAUACUCUGCCUGAUUAUUUGUUGCUGCGAAUUCUAACUUUACAGCAUAAGAGAUCUCCUCCCCCUCCGGUCCUUCCAGUACAAUCCCUGCUCCCCUGAUGACCCAUCUACAGACAUUUGCCAUACUUGAGCUUCGCCACUGUCUACAAAUCGGCCAUUGCCUGAGCCUUUAUCGCUGCUCGGGGUUUGUAGUCUAUGUCGAACUCGCUCAGCUCUAUAGCCCACUUGACGAGCCGACCAGAAGCAUCUGGCUUGUGCAGAGUUUGACGCAAUGGCUGGUUUGUUAUUACUGAGACUGGGAAUGCCUGAAAAUAUGGCCUCAACUUCCGAGCAGCAACCACAAGGGCAAGUGCCCAUUUCUCCAACAGUGGGUAUCUGGUCUCAGCGUCGAGCAGGGCCUUGCUGGUGUAGUAUAUCGGAUACUAAACUCCUUCUUCCUCUCUCACCAGAACAGAACUGGCGGCCCGAUCCGAUACCGCCAAAUACAGAUAUAACUUGUCCCCAUCCCUCGGUGUGGACAGCAGUGAAGCCUACUGCAAGUAUUGCUUCAAGUUCUGGAAGGCUUCCUCGCAUUCUGGGGUCCAUUCUGUUUUCUUUCCCCUCCUUAUCACUUGAAAGAAUGGCUAACACUUAUCCGUAGCCUUGGAUAUGAAUCUGCUCAACACCGCCAACCUCCCCGUGAGGCUCUGCAUCUCCUUCAGGUUACGAGGAGACCUCAUCUGCACAAUCGCCUGGAUUUUCUCGGGAUUUGCUUCAAUCCCCCUAUGGCUCACCAUGAAUCCAAGGAAUUUUCCUGACUCAACCCCAAAAGCACACUUCUCCGGGUUGAGCUUCAUCUUAUACUUCUUCAAAAGCCCGAAUGUCUCCUCGAGGUGUCUGACAUGUUCCUUCGGGAUUUUAGACUUGGUGAUCAUGUCAUCCACGUACACCUCCAUGGUUUUCCCAAUCAACGGCUUAAAGACUUUGUUCACCAGCCUCUGAUAGGUGGUCCCAGCAUUUUUGAGACCAAAUGGCAUUACUCUGUAACAGAACAAACCCUGGUUAGUGAUGAAAGCCGUGCUCUCCUCAUCCUGCUCGUACAUGGGGAUCUGGUUGUAUCCCGAGAACGCGUCCAUGAAGCUAAGCAGACCGUGUCCAGCCGUUGAAUCUACUAGCUGAUCGAUCUUUGGCAAAGGGAAGCUGUCUUUUGGGCACGCCUUAUUAAGGUCUGUGAAAUCUACACACAUCCUCCACUUGCCAUUUGCCUUCUUUACCAACACCACAUUCGAUAUCCAUUCAGGGUAAUUGACUUCCCGAAUGAACCCUGCUCUCAAGAGCUUCUCCACCUCGCCAUUUAUAGCCUCGUACCUCUCCUGGUUAAAGCACCUCAUCUUCUGCCUUACUCGAGCACCUUUCUUUAUUGCCAGCUUAUGACAUGCUACCUCAGGGUCAAUCUCUGGAAUGUCUUCAUGUGUCCAAGCAAACACAUCUGCAUUAGCCUGUAAGCAUUUCACCAACUCCUGUUUUUGCUCUCCCUUAAGUCUCGACCCGAUUUUGAUUGUCUUUCCCGGAUUCUCUGGUCCCAGGCUUACUGUUUCUAGAUCCUCUACAGGUUCUUGUCUGUCAUUCUUAUUUUCCACUCGGGUAUCGAGGGAUGUUAUCUGCAUUGCUUCUCUUGCUGCCGAGGAGUAGCAGCUUCUUGCGAUCCUCUGGUCUCCUCGUACCACUCCUACUACCCAUUCACCCAGUACUUCAGAGCCAGAUAAUGGUUGGACAGCACCGCUUUGCUCAUCCUCAGAAAUGGCCGGCCUAGGAUCAUCUGGUAAAGACCUUCUUCGUCUACCACCACAAAGUCCAGUAUCAUUGUCCUUUCUGUCGGGAAGCUUCCAAUCGUGAUAGGCAGCUCGACCACGCCUAGAGGGACCAGCUUUCCUCCUCCAAACCAUUUCAAGGAGGUAUUGGUAUAUUCCAACUUCCGGUCUGCUAUUCCCAUCUCCUCCAAGGUUGACUUAAAUAACACAUCAACUGAACUUCCUGUAUCAACCAAUAUCCGGUCAAACUUCUUGCUAGCGACAGUAGCCUUGAUGACUAACGCAUCCUCGUGGGGGUAUAGAAUUCCUUCCUCAUCUUCAUUCGUCCACAUGAUUGGCACUUGCCUGACCCUUGCUCGUUUGGCUGCUGGGGUGUUGAAGAAUACCUCUUUGCUGGUCAUGGCGUAUCUAGCAUAAUUCUUCCUCGACCUGUUGGAAUCUCCGGCCAAUGUUGGGCCCCCAGCUAUAACCCUUACUGCAGGCUGCUCGCGCCUCAAGUUCCUGUCACUCUGCUCCCCUUCACUUGUUGAGGCUACCAUUGGGAAGGUCCCAUCUACAAACUCGUCCAAAUACCGGUUUCUCACCAGAUCUUCAACCUGGGUCUUGAGAUCUCUGCAAUCUGCUGUGGUGUGGCCAUGAGUGCCAUGGAACUUACAAUAGUGUCCCCUAUCCCUCAUGCUGGGUAGCUUUGUUAUUGGAGCAGGGAGGUAUAGCAGCCCCCGAUCCUUUAUGGCCUCGUACACCUCGUCCAGGGACAUCUUCAAGGAAGUAUACCGCCCAUAGUCCUAGUUCUGGUCGAUCAGGUGCACUGCUCUUUCUCUAUUUGCUCCGUUCUGAGUUGGAGGCGGUGGCAGUACUUCUGGUCUGCUCCCUCUACUACUGUGGGGGUGUUGAUGACCACUAUAUGUUGAAUCAUGCCUUCUCCAAGGCUCCCUAGCUGGGGAACGAGGAGGUUGCACCCUGCUGCGCUGAUACUGAGGUGGCCUCUGAUGAGGCUGGUAAGCAGUUACCCUACCUUCUGCUCCACUACCUGCGGCCUGGUGGUCCCUCCUUUUGAUCGGCUCAUUCCCUGGUAAUACUUUCUUCUCUUUCCUCCCCAACCCUUCUAACUGGUCUGUCUUAAUCCGUGCUGCCUUUUCCUCUUCAAUCUCUAUGUCUCUCUUAACCUGCUCGUAUGCAGUUGCAUACGUUUGAACAGCUGGGCUCCUCAAGUUGUACCACAGCCUUCGUAUCUUCACUCCCUCUUUCAAACCCCUUAGUGCCUAAGGAUGGUUGAAGGCUCCCAAAUCAAGGACAGCACGAUGAAACCUCUUGAUGAAUUCCCUAAGGGUUUCUUGCUCCCCCUGCUUCAUGCUUUUCAACUCCAUCAUAUCAUCUUCUGGUGCCAUUGCCCCACGAAACUGCUCUGCAAACUCCUUGCACAUCUGCUCGAAGGUUUUAAUGCUCCCCCGAGGGAGUUUCCUGUACCACUCGCGUGCACGUCCCUCCAGGGAUAGUGGGAACACCCUGCAUCUUUGGGGUUAAGAUAAUCCUUGUACCCCCGUUAUGUCAUUGAAGCACUCUAUGUGCACCAGCGGAUCAGUUCGUCCCGAAUAUCUAAGGUCCGGGAGGCGGAAAUCUCUCGGAAUAACUGCCCUUAUGAUCUCUGCUGCGAGCGGUGAUUCUCCGUCCAGCAUUAUCCUCCAACCAGGAGCUCUGCUCCUUUCUUGCAUGUCGUCAAUUAUCUGCGCUAGUCUGCACACUUCCUCCUCCAACUGCACUGCACGACCAGGGUCACGUGCUGCAACUUGAUCCCGCUCUUGCUCUACAUCAUGCAAGUGUUGUCUCAACUCUGUUUCCUCUACAUUCGCCACCCCGUCGUCCUCGUCAAAAAUCUAUCUUGCUGGGGAUUGCUCUUCCUCUCUAUGAAAUUCUCCCCGCAGAGGUAUGUUACCCCUCUCACCACCAAAUCUCCCGUGGUUUGACUUCUCCUCGUACUAUCGGGACCUGGUGCCACUCCACCACCUCUCACCCUGUCCUCCUGAGUUACCCUUCGUUCACUCCGCAGCUCAUGCAGGAUGGUUGUCAGGGUCUCCAUUUGCUUUUCCAUCCGUUCCAUCCGGUUGAACAUGGUUUUUUUCCCGUGCUUCACUGGCUAUCUCCCUCAGCGUCACGGAAUCGUUAACCCUCAUAUCACCCCCUUGUGCACUACUUCCUCCUGUCUCCAUUGCUUUUCACUUGCUUCACUCCUCUUCUUGCUAUCAACAGAAGCUUUUUGUUUAGCUCCCCACAGACGGCGCCAAAAUGUUGAUGCGAGAUUCUGGUUACGCCCUUCCAACGACCAAGAUGUCUGCUCGAUCAACCUCACCUCGAUCAGGAUCUCUCCUCGUACGCUUUCUUCUCUAAGUAUCCCUGCGUCCACAGAAACAAGUCAGAGCACGCCGGUUGGUUUCCCGGCGUAAACCCUCCGACGCUCAAGUCAGAUAUGAAGGCUCUGGGAACGCUCGCCACAAAUCUUAUGGCUUUUUGGUUGUUUUCCCUUUUUUAGAAUUUCCUUUAUCUCUGUUCUAAUCUCAAAAUUGCUAACCCUUUUACCUUCGUUGGCUACCUUUUUAUAGGUCACUUUUGAACUCGGGCCUCCCCUCCAUUCGCGCUCAUUACCCUCCCACCUCUCAAAAGUGGAUUCCCCAUUUCCGUAGUCGUGGGUGGUUGCGUGGCCCUCAUGCCUAGAUUCUCGGACUGGAAAGCAUGCCUUGCCAACUGUCGUUGACCGGGUCUCCUCGACUCAGCCCUUAGCAGGAAUACAGCAGGAAUGGCUUUAUGCUUCUUACAGGAGAUUGGCCUCGCGGAUGACGUGCUCGUGGGUAAGCAGGGUAUUCUUGCUCCUGCUCCUCCGGAUACCAGGCUCUUACGGGACACACCGGUUCGCAGAGCUCUGCCAUCAGAUAUCUGCUCAUCAUGCUUGGUCUCGUCGACGUAUUUCUCCCAAACAGAUAUUUUCUUAUUGUUGGCACAAAUUUUCCUUUAAGUCAAAUUGGAAUAGAUGUUUGUGAGAUGCCUAGACUUGAGAAUUUGUUAUGAUUAUAUGCAUUAAAGCUUUCGGUAGACCCUUGAAAUCUUAUGAUCAAUGUAUUAGAAAUUUAGAAUUGGGGUUUAUAAGAGCUAGUUUGAUCAUGUUAUAACUUUUAUAAUUAUUGUUGCUAAUUCUGUUAUAGAAAUAAUUAAUCAGUUGUAAAAAUGAUUAGUUAAACAUUUGGUAAAUUUUAUUUUUAAAAGCAUUAUGACUUUUAAAAGCAGACGUACGUACUUAGUAAAUCUCACUUUUAAAAUAUUAUAAGAAUGCAAAAGGUUUAAAUAUAUAUAAAUUUAUAAAAUUUAUUUACACAUGCAUUUAUAGAUACAUGUAUAUAUAAUAAUUGAUAACUAAAAUAAAGAUUUUUAUUUUAUUAAUUUUUUUUUGUUAUCUAAAAAAAGGUAAUAAUAAUAUCUUUAAUGACGUAUUUAUUAAUCAGUAAUCGGAAUGGACUUGAAUCAAAAUGGAGGAAUGGAAAUCGGAAUAAAUUGUUUACUUUAACUAUCAAAAUUGGAAUCGUAAUGAACUGUAUUAUCACUUAUAUAUUUAUUUUAUCUGAGAAUCAGAAUGGAUUGUUUUAAAUUACUAAACUGGCCUUAUUAUUAUUAUUAUCAUUAUUAAAUAAGGUAAAAAGGAAUUUUCAAUUUUUACUGAAGUAAAAAUAUCAAUUCACUUCUCAUUCUCAGCCCUAGGGAAUGGGACUCCCAUUCCACAUUCUAGAAUUUAUGGAGUCCACUCAAAUUUUCAUUCCCAUUCCCCCUCCUUGUUUUGGAAGUAAACAGGUUAAUAGUUCUAUUCUCUCAUUUCUACUCCCAUUCUCAUUCUCAGGUACUAACACACCAAGGUAUUCGGUUCGGUUUUUGCCCAAUAGAACUGAAAUUAUUCGGUUUGGUUUGAUUUGGUUUAAUAAAAAAGCCAAAGGGUUUAUAUUUUUAUGAACCGAAUGGUUUGUGUUCGAUUCGAUUCCAAAAUUGAACCGAAAGCACAAACCAAUCGGUUCACGUAAUUUUAAUUAUUUUUAGAAAAAGAAAAACCAAAACUAAAUCGUAGAAUGUGAUUCCCUAAAAUCUAAAUCCCUAAUUCUCCUAACUAACUAAAACUAAGCACAGAACAGCACAACCACAACAACCUAGCAAGCGCAGCGGUAGCCCCUCUCUCACGGAACCACGCUCACUCUCAAGUAUAGCACGACAAUAGGGCUCUCUCAUGCAAUGAUAGGUAAUUUCUUAGUUUAGAAGGGAAAGUCAGAGAAACAGAGGAAGAAUAUAAGUUGAUUAAAAGGGAAAAGUCAAUUCUUAUUCCAAAAACUUGCUUAGUGCAAGUUCAAUAAGGUCUCUUAAAUAGACCUAUACAUAUAAUAAAAACUAGAAAACUAGAAAAGACGAAAAUCACUUGAAAAUAAAAAGCAUGAUCACUUAAAUGGUAAACAUACAUAACCGCCAUGAACUACAUGCAACCUAAGUCAAAUAAUCAACUGAAGAAACUUGAUCCCCAUGCAUAUUGAGCACAUACCAUUCCCCACCCUUUAGAAACACCUUGUUGGUGCGGUCAAAGUGAGGGUGAGCCUUCGAGAAUCGCCAUCGGUUCCAAUGAGUGUCCUCAAUUGCUGCUCCUAUCCCUUUAACCAGUAUUGAGUUGUACGAAUGGCACAUGAUCUUCAAUCAUGAAUAGUUGCAGCUUUUAACAACAGUGUGAUACAAACAAAUAAAAUAAUUAAAAUUAUUUAUUUAAUUUUAUUGUAUUAGUUAAUUUUGAACUAGUCAAAAGUAGUUGCCCUUAUUUUGUGGAACUACAUGUAAUUAGUAGAGCAUUAUGUGAGAACAUGUUUAGUGUUACUAAUUUUUAGGUUGUAAUCCUAAAUAAGCUUUUAUUAUAUAAAGCUUGAUGUUAUUCAAUAAAAAGGAUCAUGAGUUUAUUAUUUUGGCAACAUAAAAGUUGUAAUUGGGAGUUUAUUGAUUUCUCGAAUAACCAAUACUUAUUUGGAGGUUUGGAUUUCCUUGAAUUAACCCCAUUUGUCAUCUAAUUUUUCUAUUUCAUUUGAUUUCUUCUUAUAAACUUUAGUGUUCGUAUCACAAUGGCCAAGAAUAAGUUUCUCGUCACAAUAAUAACACAACCCUUUUCCACGAUGAGCAUGUGCUUCUUAGUUGGAUAGUUGCUGGAUAGGAGGGGAAGUGAUGUCAUCUGCUAUUUGAUCAACCUUAGGAGGUAGACCUAAGACCCUAACAAAGCUAUUUGGGGUUGGUUGCUAUAUCACCAAAAUAGGGGGUGGUAGAGAAAAGUGACUGGUGCAUUGAGAAAGUGAAUUCCGCUCCUCAAUCAGUCUUGUCACACCAAUGGUGUUAGCCAAGGUAAAGGGCUAUUUAAUCUUGACAUCUAGUUGUAUCUCAUCCUGAAGACCUACAAUAAAACAACCCACAAAAAAUCAUUCGAGUAAGCCAUCAACCUGAUGUAAAAGCUUUUCAAAAGUUUCUUGAUAUUAAGCUAAUAAUGGAAGUCUAUUUCAGGUGCAUCAAAGCCUUAGAUGGGUCCUCAUAAUCCAUUAGUUCGAAUCGUAGAAGGACUGCCUUUGAAAAUUUUGCCUAAGUUAGUAGGCCACAAAAUUUUAUUAACCAUCUAUGCAAUUAUAGAGCAAUCCCCUCCAAAUAGAAUGAUGCCAAUUGUAUUUAUUGUUCUGGGACUACAUUCUCAAAUCCGAAGAAUUGUUCCACCUUAUGAAUCCAAUCAGUCGAAUCUUCUCCGUUGAAAUUUGGAAAGUUUAGUUUGAGAUGGUGGUGAUGGUUGGGAAAGUUUAAGGAGGAAGGUUUUAUGGCUUGGUUAGAGGAUGCUGUAGCCUGUAGGUGCAAAGGGGUUAAUUUCAGAGGCAAUUACGUGUGAGGUUUAUGAUGCACGAAGAGAUUGAAGAUUUCUUGAACCUCAUUACGAAACUCAGCAUUUGAUUGACUUGGGGUAGCCAUAUUUCGAGCAACCUUUGUUUGAUACCAGAUGAUAGGUAAUUUCUUAGUUUAGAAAGGAAAGUAAGAAAAGUAGAGGAAGAAUAUAAGUUGUUUAGAAGGAAAGAGAUAAUUUUUAUUCCAAAAGCAUGCCCAGUACAAAUCCAAUAAUUUCUCUUAAAUAAACUUAUACAUAUACCAAAAAUUAAAAAACUAGAAAAGAAGAAAAUCACUUGAAAAUAGGAACAUGAUCAAUUAAAACGGUAACAUGUACAACUGCCACAAAUCAAAACCAAUCGAUUUUAAAUAGAAUGAAUUGAAAUCAAAUCAAACCAAACCAAACUAAAUCGAACCGAACCGAAAUAUUAGGUUCGGUUCUAAAUUUUGGUUUGAUUUUGGUUCGGUUCUAAAUUUUCGGUUCGAUUCUAACUUGUUGUUUUAACACCACGAUUUCUGUUCGUUGAAAGUAUCUUCCUCGUCGCCCAAAAUUCAUCCCACUUGCAGCUCAUUCUCUCAUGCAAUCCCUCAUCUUCUGUAGUAAUUUGAUUGCUCUGAUAACUAUAAGCAAUAAACCACUGCCCAAGAACUUUUGCCAAGAACAAUUCAAGAUGAAAAUAAGCCAAUGAUUGAUUUAAAGUUCCAAUGAUGAAACGAAACAUUAGCUCUAGGUUAAUGGAGAUUUAACAGAAGAUUAAAAAAAAUCAAGAUUGCACAGCCUCUUUAUACUCUCUUAUGAAAACAAAUCAAGUUCCAAUCUGCUUCAACAACCAGCCUCUUUAUACUCUCUUAUGAAAACCCAGAUUGCACAGCCCUUUGACACGUGUGUAACGGCUUCUAACGACUUGAUUCCUCCCUCACAUGCUAGCUCACGUGUUUUACUUAAGUUUCCUGAAAACGACACAAAGCAAUGCCGUUCUGCCUUAAGCUGAGGAGCCCGUGACUGCACGUGAGUUGUAAGUAAUUCCAGCUGAUCAAAACGCAGCCGUUUUGGGGCUCUGAGUUUUGAAUUCAUAACACUCCAGUCCACAUCUUCCUCACCCGCUAACAUAAACAAAGCACAAAACAAUUCCAAUCUCAGAAUUAAGAUCAUACUCAGACAAAUCCUUAAUCCAAUCAGCGAUCUAUCGUCUACUGCGAGCUAAUCGAGAGUGCCAUCUAAUUCGAGGUGGCUGAGAGACCGUGAGAGUGAGAUGUUGAUCAGAGAUAGAGAGAGUGAGAGUGAGCGUGGUUGCGUGAGUGUGGAAGAAAGGGGCUGCUGCUGUGCUGCGUUUGAGAGUAAGCAUGGUUGCAUGAGAGAGAGAGAGGGGCUGCUGCUAUGCUGUGCUUGAGAGUGAGGGUGGUUGCAUGAUAUCUGCUCAAUAUGUAUGGGAUGAAGUUUCUUCAGUUGGUUAUUUCACUUAAUCAAAAUAAAUUAUAGUAGUGGUUGCAUGCCUGACUUUGGAGGUAAGGCUAGAGGCAAACUUCUACAUUUAUAACUUGUUUCACAACAAAUUACGGUUAUAAAUGAGACUUAAUCCAAAGACGGAAAGAGAGAAAUUUGCUAUACUGUUUAGUAUCCAUUAUUGAGAAAAACACCAAAAUUAACUUUUACCUCUUUAAAAUCACUUUUGAAACCUCCCAAAAGAUAUCUCAAAUGGGUUCUCAAUUUUUUAAAACAUUACUUUUGGCUAAACACCCCAUCCUCCAGUAGAUUUUGAAAAUGUCAAAAUGUAUAAGACACUCAUCCAGUGGGGGUUUCACAGGCUUACCUCUCUUAGAAGUCUCUGCAUUCUUGGAUGUCAUGAAGCAGAGUGUUUUCCAGACGAGAAGAUAGGAAUGACGCUGCCCAAGUCUCUAACUUGUCUGUCCUUUCGAGGAUUCAAAAACACAUUUAAGAAAUUAGCAAUUUGUUGUUAGUCACAGUAUCUGACGUUCUUUUCUUUUAUAGUUUGCAGAAUCAACUGUAUUAUAUAUGUUGUCAUUUGCAGUAUCUGAGGUGCCUUUUGCAUUUUACUUGACCUUUAUUUGUUUUACUAGUGACUGAAGAAUACCAACAUUGGUUAGAGAUUUGGAGAAGCAUCUGAAGAGGCUUGACAAAGUUGGAGAUGCACUUGCUCCCAAGCCUUCAAUCAUCACAAUGCAAAUCCGAUGAGUACUUAUGCCUGCAAUUAUGUAAAAUAUUUGAAAUUUUGAUUCAGCGAAAUGGUUUGUUGAUGCAAAGCUUUAAACUGUUAAGACUUACCCAGCAGGCCUGUUGGAUGUUGUAUCAACUCCAAAAUCCAACAAGAACUAUGGCACCAAGACCCAGUUUUUACCGAUUCAAUCAGCUGAAAUGAUGAGGCAAAUCCCACGUAUUCGAAUCAAUCCAUUUCAUGAACUGUUAUUUUCAUGAUGCUUUCUAUUGGAGUUGAAGAGGAAACAAGGAUGUGUUGGAAUCAAUGAGAACAGUGGGAAGCAUGACUGGAGCUCUGAUUAUAAAUAGGCAUUUUAAAAACAUGUGCUGGUAAGUGGUAAUUAAAGAAAUUUGUGAGCUUAUUCAAGUUUCAGUAUUUGCUGUUUGGAUAAAGCUGAUACCAAGUUUGGCAAAAUCUGUGCUUUCUUUGUUCAAUCGGUGUUAUGGUUAAAGUAGAUGCUCUGAUUAAUAAGCCAGACUACGAUAGCUGGCUCUAAUAAUCGGCUUCCUUUUUCUUGUUUGCUGUUGUAUAUUCUUUCAAUUUUUUUUUCCGCAUUAGGACGAUCAGUUGAAGAACAAGUUUGUGUUUGACGAUGCAUUUAAGGAAGAGCCAGACUUGGAUGCAGAUCUGAAAAGGUUAGCAUGAAUGAAAACCUUCAGAACUGACUGAAGGUUUCUGAGUUGAUCCUAAAAAUGUAGCAGUUGUCUGUUUCAUAAAGCAGAACAAAAACAGAAUAAGAGAUCACUAAUCAUGCUUGAGAAUUCAUUUAAAUAAAAUUUCAAAAAUUGCCAAACACAGCCUAAACUAGGAUGCACUUGCUUAAGAUUCAUUUUCAGAAGGAAGGUUGUACUUGCAGCUCAUAAAAUCAUGUUUAUGUUGUAUGUUUAUUCAGCAAAUGAAAGAUUCCAAGUUUGCUGAAACCAUAUUAUUUUUUUACCAGGCGCCUUCUUGAAGGUAUCGACGUCAAUUUCAAAAAUGUUGGGGAUAAGUUGCUUGAUGCAAUGCUACACAAAUAUGAAGGAUUUCUUGUCGAUGAUUACUACCACCUCGAUAAAAAAAUUCAUGUAACUGGUCAUGCCGGCAAUAAAAGAAGGAAAGGUGGUAUACGUCGAAGACAUAGAUGAAGGCCUCGAGUCCAUCGGCCCUCGUUGGGCUAUUCACUUGUCGGAAUGUCAGGAAACAACUUGUUGAAGUUGCGUGGGAAUUUUAAAACUACCAUAUGUUGUAGAAAUGCACUGAGCCAUGUGCUUUCAGAGCUUUGUGAAGAUGUCUUGGCCAUGUGUUUGAUACAGGUUAUGCUUGUUCGAUUAAAUUGUACGCAGUUUUAAAUCAAAGAUUCAGAACAUGCGUAUGUUACUGGUUUCUAGAAUCCAGAUCAACAAAUGCCUCUAUGUAGAAGUUAAAAUUUUAAAUUUUUUUAAGUAGAGGUGUAGAGUUUCUUUUUUCAAAAAAGAAAAAGUAAAUUGUGGAGGCUAUCUUUAUUUGAUUUUACAAUCUUAUUUUAUUUAUUUCACGACAUAAUUUUAAAAUAUUUAUUUAGUAAAUUAUUAACAUCUAUACCACUAAAGAUUUUUUUGUUAAACGAUCUACUUACAAAGUUAUAUUAAUUAUAGAUUUACUCAAAGAAGCCCUAUUAAAAAAGUUAUAGCAAGUAAAGCUCUCUCUCUCGAAUAGAGAGGCGGGAAUGGAAGUAUUGAGGGGUCGUAAGGACCCAGGUGUUCACUCCUUGGGAGUGUAAAGUAGAUCAUCAACUUUGGUUUUUUAGUUUUAGUGCGGUUGGCUAGGCUCUCUGGGGAAGCAGAGAGUUUUCUCGGAGGAAGGGCUAGGUAGUCAUUAUUGUUUGCUCAUCCUCAUUCAUUAGCUGCCAUGGAUACGGACGAAUUAAUUCGAAAAUACAAAGCAAUAACUAUCCGAGAGGAAGAUAAAGCUAGAGUGACGUUGGAGGUGGACUUGAAAACUAAGAAAGAGGGAAUGCUAGCAGGAUGUUUAAUGGGUAAAGUCCUUCUCUCGAGAGGAGUUAAUAAAGGAUGGAUAAUGACUAUGGGCCAAUACAUCCUUAGCUUCUUUUCCGCUGAGCAGAGAAAUUUUUUGAAGGGUAUAAAAAAUAGCUAUAACCUAUUUACAUUUUAAAUUUGAAUCAACGGUCAAACAUAAUUUUAAAUUUUUUGAAGUAGAGGUGUAGAGUUUCUUUUUUCAAAAAAGAAAAAUAAAUUGUGAAGACUACCUUUAUUUAAUUUUACAAUCUUAUUUUAUUUCUUUUACAAUAUAUUUUUAAAAUAGUAAAUUAUUAACAUCUAUACCACUAAAGAUUUUUUUGUUAAUCGCUCUACUUACUAACACCGGACACAAUAGAUGAGAAAACACAACGUCACACACCCAAGAAAUCACAAGCUCACCACCACAACAAACAACAAAAGGAUACAGAAAAAAAUCCACCACCUAAAGUUGUUAAGCUAAGGAUACAGGGCUUAAAAUACUCACCACUCAAUGGAAUCCACCAAAGAGAUACAGAGUUUGAUAAUAACUCAAAGUUCAUCCAAUCCCCAAAAUUAAUCUCUGUCUUUUGGUUACAACUACAUAAGCUUAAAUAACUUUCUCGGAACAAUCCUCCAAGUAUAGAUAUACUACAGAGAAACCCUUCAAAUGACUUGACUUCAAAGACCAACAUUAAAGCUAGACAUGAAUAAAACAUUGGUAUGCUUAAAACACAACAAAGAGCAUUAAAAAAAAGUCCCAAGUCCAGAAAUAUUCUUCUUGACUCAAAACUGAACAGUCUGCACUUAACUGAAUAUAACUUACUGUAGAAAGCUCCAAAUUUAGAUUAGUAAAAUUCAUUGGAAAGCUAACAGAAAUAUCUUUCCAAUGAUGUAUGGGUCGAAAAUUAAUUCGAUCUCAUGCAGUACAGUUUAAUUCCCAAAGAUUCCCCUUCUGCACAGAAAUUCUGCUUACUUGAUUAAUGUAAGAACUUGAACUGCACUUGGUAUAACUUGAAUACCAAAUAUUUCAAACACCCCUGUGUUACUUACAAAGUUAUAUUAAUUGUAGAUUUACUCAAAGAAGCCCUAUUUAAAAAGUUAUAGCAAAAAAAGUCCUAGUUACCUUUAGUUAAUAAUAAUCUUCUAAUCUGUCUUACAACGGACUUUUGACAAAAGUGUGCUACUCCCACCUCUUCAAAGUCCACCCGACACCACGUCUUCUCUAUUUAAAAUUUUCUAUAGUUGAAAAUUAUAUUUUCUUUUACUUGACGCCCCUCCAAAUUCUAAAACUUAGCUUCGAUGAACUUUCUUCGUUAAAUCUCUUUGCUUUACUUUAUUCUUGUUACUUGAGAAGAAGAGCCAGAGUCUAGAAGAAUGAAAGAAAAUUCAACGAGAUAGAAAUUUAGAAAUUUCAUCCGAUCCUUUUUUUCUUCAAUUUUUUGGUAUUUUGAUUCGUUCAAUGGAUUCUUGAUCAUUAUUCAUUCUUUCUAGUUUCUACCAUGAUUCGGAAAUUUUUCUUAAAAAAACUACUACUCUUGUGUAUUUAAAAAAAAAGGAAAGAAAGAAAAAAGGCAUUAAUAAAGAAUUGUGCACGUAACAUUAUUAGUACCUUGUUGAUUGGUCGUUUGGUCUUCAAGAAAUGUUAGUUGAUAUAUGCUUGAAAUUAUAUUCUGCUUUUUUUUUUCCUAUGUAUUGUUUCCCGUUUGAUUACAUUUCAAACAUUUUUAACACGAAUGAAUGCUUUAACCAUUUUUGUCACUUCAUUAUUACAAUAAGCUGAUUGAAGUUAUCUGCGUUGGUCCUGAAAAUGUAAUGGACACUUCUCUGUUUGAAUAAAACAGGACAAAACAUUGAUAUUUCUACCAUUGCCAUACAUAGUAUAGCCUAGGAAUACAUUUCCAUAAUUAAUAUUUAUUUCAGAAGGAACUUUUCACUUGCAGCUAACAAAAAAAAAUUGGGAGAUGAAAGAUUCGCUGCAUUACCAACACUUCUCUGUUGGUUUAUUACUUAAAAGUUGGGAGAUGAAAGAUUCGCUGCAUUAUUUUAUUCCAAGUUUGCGGAAAUCAUAUUUGUUUUCCCGGCUGCUUUCCUGAAUGUAUCGACAUCUAAGAUGCUUAAAAUGUCGGGGGUAAGAUGCUUGGUGCAGUGCUACUCAACAUGAGAAUUCAUCUUCUAACUCGUUACCUGAUAUUAUUGUCUUCUUGAAAAUUUAAUUAAGCUUAGAAGUCCCUCAACCACAAAAUCAAUGGAGUUUAACUCCAUCGAUACACAACUUUUAAGUAAUAAACCAACACAUGAGUUCAUCUCUAUUGAUACUCAAGUUCUAAGUCCCUUAUUCAAUACUAAAAUCCAUGAGAAUUAAACUAACCGUAGUUUAACAUGUGAUUAACAAAUGUUAAAAGGUUCAAAAAAUACAUCAAUUAUAAAAGAAAUAAAAUCAGCAAAGAGACCACAUCAGAAAUUUCUUAGAUGUCCGAAACUAUUAAAAGAAUUCACAUACCAAAUCAAAAAAAGUAGAAAAUGCUUAAGCUUCUUAAGGUAAUUUGAAGUAUGAAAGUGAAUGGCAUAUAAUCCAGUAUAAAAAAAAAUGGUUUUAGUGCCGUACAAAGAGAAGUUAAUGGUGGUUACAGAAGUGGGGAAAGUUGGGUACAAAUCAGAUAAUGGGAGGCUCCUAAACUUCCUUAAAUCAAUUUUAAUUUCAAAAAUAAAAUAAUAAUAAAUAAAAAAUAAAAAAUAGCAUAAAAGAAAUAAGAUAAAAAUUACUUUUCUAAAAUUGCAUGCAAGUAUACAAAAAUAACAUAUGUUGAUAUUACAUCGAGAAAGGUCCAUCAGCCCUAGUUGGGCUAUUCGCUGCGUAGAAUGUCGGAGAACAACUUGUUGUGGUAGCUUGGGAAGCAAAUGUGAAUGUUUCUUUCUAGAGCGGAUUCCCUGCAAUCUUACUCGACGAAUGAAGUUGUAUCUCUUAAUUGGAAUUGAGAUUGGACAACUGAAGCUUAAAAAUAUAUUACUAAAGUAGUUAGUAAAUAUUAGUUGCUGUAGUGUAGAAACUAACUUGAUUCAAUUUCAUACUUAUAUGAAAAACCUGUAAUAUCUUUACUAUUUUUAUCAAAAUUACUAUUUAAAAAUUGCAACUUCUACACGGUGUCAAAUUUUAUUCCAUAAUUACACAUUUCUUCAUAGCAGUUAUAGUUUAAAAAUUACAAUACUUCAAUACCAAAUAGAGCCUUCAUCGCUGUAUUCUUUUCAAUUGAUCUAUUACAUUUUGUUUUCAAUGGAGUGACGCAAAAUUUGCCUUCUGUCUUAUUGUUAAAGAGGAGAAUUUAGAGUGGCUUUUUGCUGUUAAAAAAUAGCCUAACGUAAGAAUAAUGAAUGAAUAUCCACAAGCUACUGUAUUAUAUGUUGUUAGAGGAUGUAAAAAUGAGGAGACUAAAGAUACAUUUAAAUUUCAAGGAACAUUUAUUAGAAGUAAAUUUCCUAUGACCCUACAGGUGACUAAUUAAUGGGAAAUUGACAAUGACAAAAGCAAAUUUAUGAGUUUUGUAGGCUGGCAUGCCUAUAUUAUAGCAUUGUUCGAUCAACUGCCACACCAAAUGUUUUUGACGAGAAAUAAAAACAUCAAGAUAUUGCCCGCUUGCCGUAUUCCACAUCGUGAAUUGUAUCUCUGUUCCUCAAUUUUCAGUGUUCCAUACAUAAAACCAUUUUCAGUUUCUCUUGUUAUCAAUUCAAUUUCUUGUUCGUGACGAUCUUGAUUCCUUUCUUUCUGGUAAAACGGAGCCAUGUUUGCUGUUGGAGAGGUCUUCCUCAACGCUUUCUUUCAGGUGUUGUUUGACAGGUUGGCUUCUCGUAAUUUGCUCAGCUUUGUGCGUCAACUCCAAGGCGGGGUUGAUUCGGAGCUCAGAAAGUGGGAGAAAAAGCUGAAGAUGAUUCAGGCUGUGCUUAGCGAUGCAGAGGAGAAGCAACUGACUGACGAGGCUGUGAAGAUGUGGCUAGACGAACUCCAAGACUUGGCUUAUGACGCUGAGGACAUUCUUGAUGAGUUUGGUACUCAAGCUUUGGAAAGCAAGUUGAUGGCGAAAAAUCAGGAUAGCACUGGCCAGGUUCUCAGUUUCAUACCGGCUAGUUUGAAUCCGAAUGCUAUUAUGUCCAAUUAUAGCAUGGGAUCCAAGAUUAAAGAUAUUACUAGCCGGUUGGAGCAACUCUGCCAAGAUAGAAUUGAACUUGGGCUGCAACGGAUUGCUGGAGGGGCAUCAUCACCUACUGCUGCUGCACACCAGAGGCCACCCAGUUCAAGUGUCCCAACAGAGCGUGAAGUAUUCGGAAGAGAAGAAGAUAAGGCCAAAAUUCUUGAUAUGGUAUUGACCGAUACCCCCAGUGAUCAUGCCAACUUUGUUGUAAUACCCAUUGUUGGCAAGGGCGGGAUAGGAAAAACAACUCUUGCUCGGGAGGUCUACAAUGACAAGGCCGUUGAAGAUUCCAAGUUUGAUGUAAAAGCAUGGGUUUGUGUCUCUGAUGUCUUUGAUAUUUUGGGCAUCUCAAAGGCACUUCUCGAGUCAAUCACCCGCAGGCCUUGUCUUCUAAACAAUUUAAAUGAAGUGCAGGUUGAGUUGAAAGUAGCUGUGGAUAAAAAAAGAUUCUUGCUGGUCUUAGAUGAUGUUUGGAACGAGGACUACAGCUUGUGGGUAGACUUAAAAGCUCCAUUCUUGGCAGCUGCACCAAACAGUAAGAUGAUCGUCACCACACGCAAUUCAAAUGUUGCAUCAAUAAUGGGACCAAUUGAACAUUAUAAUCUCAAGAGACUGUUAGAUGAUGAUUGCUGGUCCAUUUUCAUACAGCAUGCACUUGAAUCUAGAGAUCUUAACGCACAUCAAAUUUCAGAAUCGUUCCACAAGAAAGUUGUUGGCAAGUGUGGAGGCUUGCCCCUGGCAGCAAAAACAUUAGCGGGCCUUCUACGUACUACGAGGCAUGAUGCGUGGGACGAUAUCUUGGAUAGCAAACUAUGGGAUUUACCACGACAAAGUGACGUUCUCCCUGUGUUAAGAUUGAGUUACCAUCAUCUUCCGUCUCAUUUGAAAAGAUGUUUUGCUCAUUGUGCCAUCUUUCCGAAAGAUUAUGAAUUCAAUGAGAAGGAGCUGACUUUCUUAUGGAUGGCUGGAGGAAUUAUUCGACAGUCAAGAAAGAAUGAGCAGCUGGAAGAAUUGAGCAGCAAGUGCUUUCAAGAUCUAGUGUCGAGGUCUAUUUUUCAACAAACCAGCUCUGGUAGUGCUAAAUUUGUAAUGCACGACCUUAUCCAUGAUCUUGCUGAAUUGGUUUCUAGAGAAACCAUUUUCAGGUUAGAGGAGUCCACCAACUUGUCAUCAAGAAGAUUUGAAAGGGUUCGCCAUUCUUCGUAUGCCCGUGGUAGGCUUGAUGGUAAAUCUAAGUUCGAGGUUUUCAAUGAAAUUGAACAUCUACGAACAUUCUUGCCAUUAUGCAUAAGAGGUGGCGUUACUUCUGGUUAUAUAACUAGCAUGGUUCUCUACGAUUUGUUGCCGAAGUUCAAAAUGUUGAGAAUGCUAUCUUUACAAGGAUACCGUAUUGGUGAGUUACCAAUUCCAUUUGAAGAUCUGAGACUUUUAAGGUUCCUAAACCUUGCUGAUACUGACAUAAGAAGUUUACCUGAGUCAACAUGCGCAUUGUUGAACUUGGAAAUUUUGAUAUUAAGAAAUUGUUCCCGUUUGAUAAAGCUACCGCCCAAAAUGAUGAACUUGAUCAAUAUUCGUCAUCUCGAUAUAAGAGGUGCAAAUUUGUUGAAGGAGAUGCCAUUCGGAAUGAAAGAGUUGAAGAAGCUUCAAACAUUGUCCAAUUUCAUCGUGGGCAAGGGCGAAACUGCAUCUGGUUUGGAAGAUUUAGGAAGUUUAAACUUUGCAUUGCUGGAUUAGAGAAUGUGAAUAAUCCACAGAAUGCAAGAGAAGCCGCAUUAUGUGAGAAGCUCAAUCUUCAUGCAUUGACUCUAGAAUGGGGGUCUCAAUUUGACAAUUCUCGAGAUGUAGCAGUAGAAGAGCACGUGCUGGACAUUCUACAGCCUCAUAAAUGUAUAAAAAAGGUGGCAAUCAGGAACUAUGGUGGUGCAAGGUUUCCACUUUGGAUAGGAGAUCCGUUGUUCUCCAAGAUAGAAUUCCUUGAAUUGGAGAACUGUAACAAUUGUGUAUCUUUGCCAUCGCUUGGUCUAUUGAGUUCACUUAAGCACCUUGCUGUUAAAGGGAUGAAGAAGCUAAAAAGCAUAGAGUCUGAAGUUUAUGGGGAGGGUUUCUCAAUGCCUUUUCCAUCAUUGAAGAUUCUACGUUUUGAGAAUUUGCCAGAGUGGUGGCAUUGGGACACCGAUAUCAAAGGAAAUGUGCACGUUGAUAUAUUUCCUCGUCUCCAAGAACUUUCCGUUGUGAAAUGUCCCAAACUCUCUGGAAAACUGCCUGAGCUUCUGCCCUCCUUGGAGAUACUUGUUGUUAGUAAAUGUGAAAAGUUGGUAGUUUCAUUGUCAAGCUAUCCAAGGCUCUACAGAUUAGAGGUUGAUGAGUGCAAAGAACUAGUGUGCAGGACCCCAAUUGAUUCUAAGUUGAUAAAGUUCAUGACUAUUUCAAAUAGUUCAUUAGACAUGAUUGGAUGCAAGGGGAUGCUAUACGAUAGUCAAGCUGGCUCUUCACUGCCAAAACCCAUGACCACUACAAAUGUUUUGGAGUUUGGAAAAUUACUGGAGCCUGGAUUUCAGAUAUUAGAAACUUUGGUAAUUGGCAAUUCUGAACAGCUCAAG